AUACCUGGUUAUACAUCGACAAGCAAGAAGAAGAAAGAAAUUAUCUAGCACUUCACGUCGAUAUACUGUUUGAAAUUGCGUUGCUGUGUCAGAAGAAGGAUAGCUAUACUGAUUCGGUAUACUCUAAAAAUACCUUUAGUACAAUAUUGACGAUCUCACAAAGAUUGAGUUUCGGUGAAUUCCCAUUUACUGAUCCCAUCUUUUACGGAAUCGAUCCCCUACAAGAAUAUGUGGAGCUCGGCAUGUCUGGAAGCACAGGAGAACGUUCUUUUGCUGAUAUUAUUACCAGUAUUCGAUGCUGGGUCAUUCAUAGUAUUACUAUACCUUCUCUAUUCAUCGCGGGUUGGUUAUUCGUUAGCACAUGUUUAGAUUAUGAUGUGUUUGGAAGCCCUCGUCCAAACGAGUAUUUUACAGAGAGCCGACAAGGAAUUCCAUUAAUAACUGGCCGUUUUGAUUCUUUGGAACAACUCGAUGAAUUUAGUAGAUCUUUUUAGGAGGACCCAAUGACCAUAGAUCGAACCUAUCCAAUUUUUACAGUGCGAUGGUUGGCUGUUCACGGACUAGCUGUACCUACCGUUUCUUUUUUGGGGUCAAUAUCAGCAAUGCAGUUCAUCCAACGAUAAACCUAAUUUGAAUUAAUUAUAGAGCUAUGACACAAUCAAAUCCGAACGAACAAAAUGUUGAAUUGAAUCGUACCAGUCUCUACUGGGGGUUAUUACUCAUUUUUGUACUUGCUGUUUUAUUUUCCAAUUAUUUCUUCAAUUAAGAAAAAAAGAGUAGUAGAAUACUAAAUAAUAGUAGGAAUUCUCUUAUCCCAUUCGGAAGGAUUGUAUCUCAUAAUUAUCUAUGACUGUUUAUGUCUUUAGCAUGACCACUUGAUGAAAUGCGGAGGGGAGCGGGAUAAAUGGCCGAUACUACUGGAAGGAUUCCUCUUUGGAUAAUAGGUACGGUAACUGGUAUUCCUGUGAUCGGUUUAAUAGGUAUUUUCUUUUAUGGUUCAUAUUCUAGAUUGGGUUCGUCCCUGUAAUAUGGAAUAAUGGAUAAUGGGACGAACUAAGUUAUAGGCAUGAAAGUGUAAGAACUCAACGGGGCCCGCCUCCUCUUUCUUUGUCUGAUUCGCGAGGAAGGGUCCCGUUGAAUUCUUAAUGAUCAUGAUCAUAAUAUUUUGGUCGUAUAAAUGACAACAAAUAGAUCACUUUUUCCGAUGAUUUUUUUGAAAAAUGAACUCAAUUUCAAUUAAUUGAUUCAUAGCAUCUGCUCUUCGAUAGUAUCUAUCGAUACUUUCAAGGUUAGAAGAAAAAAAGGAAUCACUCAAUUGGAUGACACAUAUUUAAUAUUUCUUUUUUUUUUCUGUCGACCAGAUAUCAAUCAAACCUUUUCUAGACUAGUCUAACCUUACUCGAUUUAUUUUAGUAUUUCAUUAAAGUUUGAAAUUAUUUUAUAAGUUUAUCGCCUUGAUUCUAUUUUAUCAAAAAAAAUCGGUAAGGAUUCCUUCUAUUUUUUUUGGUUGUCCAUUACUUAGUAUAUUAUACUUAUUUCGACUUAUUUUAUACUUAUUAUAUUAUCCUUAUUACUUAUUCUAUUAUAAGUAAAUCGAAAAAAUAAAGGGUUCUAAAAAAUCUGGAAAAAUUGAAACUAAGAAUAGAAAUCUUUGAGGAACGGGUCCCGGAAUUGGUAUUAUUUCGACACAAGAAAAGGGUGUGUAAAAUUCCUUUUCUUGUGUCGAAGGCUAGAAAGAUGAAGAGGGCGACAACCAUAGUAGAAAUACAAGGGUAAGUCAUUAACUCAUCUCCUACUCUAAGUAGAAUGUUGUUUUUCUUUUUAAAAUAAACCUCUAUAACUCUACAAGGGUUCUACCUUCUCUUCCUAUAAAUAGAUGGCACGAUAGAGCUAACACAACUUUUGUGAGAUUGUUAUUCUGCCCAAAAAUAGAGAGAAUUUAUUCUCAAAUUAUAAACAUAUUUUUCAGAAUAAAAACUUUACCAAUUUCUAUUAAAGAAGAGAGAUUUUUCAUUUUCACCCUAAAAGAAUUUCUUUUUCUAGUUUUGUGUUUUAAUUCCAUUGGUUCGAGCCCAAACUCGAAGCAGUUUGUGGUACGAGAAUAGUUGUAACACCCCUAACUCAUAUCCGUCACCGGAACAGGUUUACGGAGCAUUACCGGAGUUUACUGAUCAAUUAUAAUUAUUUCAUACAAUUUACUAUUCAUAUCCAAAAUCAAACGUAUUCAAUCAUAAUGUCCUUUAUAUGGGCCUCGAGACCUAAUUUAUGCAUUAGAAAUCAGUCGGGACUAAAUCGGGAACUUAGAGAAUUUUUUGCAAAAUUUCAAAAUUUUUUCUUAAAUGCAAGGGACAUGCCCGUGUGGACAGGCUGUGUGGCUCACACGGCCAAGUGACACACCCGUGUCCUUGGCCAUGUAGGCAUUCGAUGUAAGGCACACAGCCCUAUCCCAUCCCGUGUCCAUACCUGUGUAACUCUCUAACUUGAGUCACACGGCCAGCCACAUGCCCGUGUGCUAAACUGUGUGGACAAUUUAAUUUUUGAAAAUUAGCUGCAAGGGACACAUGGCCAAACCACACACCCGUGUGAAUGGCCGUGUGUCACACACGGCUGAGACACAUGUCCGUGCCUCUGCCCGUGUGGACAUAAUAAGGCCAUUUCCAAGCCUAUUUCUCACCCAAACUUGUCUUCCACCUACAUAAACACUUAAAUACAUUUACCAACCAAUUCAAAACAUUAAACCUAAGCCAAUACCAAGUCUUAUGCAUAUCAUAUUAUCACUUAUGUUCAAGUGUCGAAAUUACCAAAUAUAUAUAUGUACAAAUAGACAUAUUUAACUAACUAUACUACCUUCAUUCAUUCAUCAAUAGAUUUAUAUACUAUCCAUCAUUUAACCAUUUUAAUACACAUAUCAGACAUGAUAAGGCCUAAUAUAAUUUUAUCAAAAUAUGUCAAAUACUAGUCAUUCUAAUUGCUAGUUACAACCAAAACAUUAACGUGCCAACGUAGACUAAUUAACCUAUAUAUGCCAUUAUAUUCAAAAAAAAAGUUUGUCAUUUUAUACCAAAACAAACUGAUGGAUAGUGUGAUGUUGCUCCGACCCAUGUCCAAAUCUUACGAGCUUCCGAGUACUAUAAAACAGAGAAAAUAAAACAAAGUAAGUAUAUAAUACUUAGAAAGUUCGUAUAACGAGAAAUUAACUUACCAAUCAUUUUUAUUAAAAUAACAUAUAAAUGACAUCCAAAAAAUUUGGCUUAAAGCCUAAAACACACAAAAUUUCCCUAAUCAUGUUAGUCAAAUAAUUCACAUAAAUACUAAGAACAUGAAUGAGCUCAUCAUGUAUUAACAUCCAUAUACAUAUGCCUUCCAUAUCAUAUUUCCAUUUAACAUGUGCAUUUCCAUGACAAAUCAUCUUAAGCUCAGUUUAGCCAUGUUAGAACUUUGCCUGUUGAAUUUAUUUGAAAUAUCGAUGGAUACACAUGUAGUACACUCGAAGUGUACAAAACUGUAAUUUGUCAACUCAUAUCCGGGGGUACUCAUUAGAGCACAUAAUCAAGAAGCACUCUCUCGAGCCAUAUAACAUGAAGCUCAUGUGAGCCAUGUAACGGGAAGCUUAUCCAAGCUUAAUAACAGGAAGCUCAUAAGAUCUUAAAAUAGAAAGCUCAUGUGAGCUUAAUAGGUAACUCUGAAAAGCUAUUAUCAGGAAGCUCCAGAUAGCCAAAUAUGAGGAAGUGCAAGCGAGUCAUAACAGGAAGCUCACUAAGAGCCCUAUAUCGGGACGCUCAUAAAGAGCUGCGGUAUGUUCGCAGUAUAUGUAGAAUCAAUACCGAUCAUAUCCAAUUCAAUCCAAUUUACAUCUUAGGAAAAAUUACCAUUUUGCCCCUAUACUUAUGAUUAAUUCCAAUUUUGUCCCUAGGCUCGGAAAAUGAAAUUCAUGCAAUUUACUCAUUAUUCCAUGCCUAACCAAAAUUUUCAUAUAAAAUUUACAGCCCAUUUAUUUCACAAAGUUCAAAAAUUUUCCAUGAAUUUUACAUCUUUACAAUUUAGAUCCUAAAUCACAAUUUCAUCAAAAUUUACUUUACAAAAGUUUUCGAGCUUACGAGUUCAGAAAUCCAAACCCUACAAUCUUCUGAGUACUAUAAAAUAGAGAAAAUAAAACAAAGUAUAUAAUGCUUUGUAAGUUCGUAUAACGAGAAAUUAACUUACCAAUCAUUUUCAUUAAAAUAACAUAUAAAUGGCAUCAAAAGAAAUUGGCUUAAAGCCUCAAAUACACAAAAUUUCACUAAUUUCAAAAAAUCAGAAUUUGACUCACAUUGUACCUGUUUAGCUUGUAAUUCAUCAUCAUUUUUCUGGGCUUCGCAAAUCUGCUGUAGAAAUGUCGAUUUAGGUUGUAGUUCAGCUAUAAUUGAACCAUCAUUAGACAACGAAAAUCGAGUAUUUAUUACUCACAAAGAAAACAGAGACUUUUCGCUUAGAGCAUCUGCAACCAAAUUGGCUUUUCUCGUAUGAUAAUCGAUAACCAGAUCAUAAUCUUUCAAUAAUUCAAGCCACCUACGCUGUCUCAAGUUCAAGUCUUUUUGCAUCAUAUACUUUACACUUUUGUAAUCAGUGAAUAUAUGACAUUUUUCACCAAACAAAUAGUGCUGCCAAAUUUUCAGUGCAAAAAUAAUAGCUGCCAAUUCUAAAUCAUGUAUCAGAUAAUUCUUUUCAUGUGGUUUUAAUUGUCUAGAAGCAUAGGCUAUUACUUUACCUUCUUGCAUCAAGACACAGCCUAAACCAUUCAAUGAUGCAUCACUAUAAGUCGCAAAUUCCUUACCCUAUUCAGGCUGAACUAAUACUGGUGCUUCAGUCAACAAGGUUUUCAAUCUGUCAAAACUCUGCUGACAUUUAUCAGUCCAUUCAAACUUCACAUCUUUCUGUAACAAUCGUGUCAUUAGAGAGGAUAUCAUUGAAAAUCCUUUUACAAACCUCCGGUAAUAUCCAGCUAGUCCUAGAAAACUUCUGACUUCAGACACAUUUUUUUGUGGUUUCCAGUUAACUAUCACUGAAAUUUUAUUCGGGUCUACUCUGAUACUUUCAGCAGAUAUUAUAUGUCUAAGAAAACCAACUUCCCAAAGCCAAAAUUCACAUUUACUGAAUUUGGCAUACAACUGUUUCUCACGCAGAGUUUGCAGCACAAUUCUCAAAUGGUCAGCAUCUUCAUUUUCAUCUCGGGAAUAUACCAGGAUAUCAUCAAUAAAUACCACUACAAAUCUAUCUAAAUACGGUCUAAAAAUUCUAUUCAUCAAAUCCAUAAAUAUCGCAGGUGCAUUUGUCAAGCCAAACGGCAUCACAAGACACUCAUAGUGUCCAUACCGGGUUCUAAAGGCUAUCUUUGGUAUAUCUGAGUCUUUUACUCGUAACUGAUAGUAGCCAGAACGAAGAUCAAUCUUUGAAAAUAUAAUGGCACCUUUCAACUGAUCAAACAUGUCAUCAAUAGAGGCAAAUGAUACUUGUUCUUUAUUGUGACUUUGUUGAGCUGUUGGUAAUAAAUACAUAAUCUCAACGAUUCAUCUUUCUUUCUAACAAAUAAAACAGAUGCACCUCCCGGUGAAGAACUAGGUCGAGCGAACCCUCUGUUAGUCAAUUCUUGCAACUGUGCUUUCAUCUCUUUUAACUCUGUGGGGGCCAUUCUGUAAGGUGCUAUAGAUAUAGGAGUUGUCCCCAGAACAAGAUUUGUAGAAAAUUCAACCUCUCUAAUUGGCGGUAAUCUAGGUAAUUCUUCUGGAAAUACAUCAGAGUACUCAUAUACUACUGGCACUAAUUUAAUCUUUGACUCGGAUACUUUAGUUUCCAACACAUAGGCAAGGUGAGCAUCAUACCCUUUUCUGAUAUAUUUCUAUGCUGUCACGGCUGAUAUUACAUUAGACAACCCAUCCAAUUUAUUAAAUUCAAUAUGAAACAACUCACCAUUCUGACAUUUUAACAUGAUAUAUUUUUGUUUACAAUUUACUACGGCAUCAUGCUGAGUCAACCAGUCCAUACCCAAAAUUACAUCAAAUUCAUCAAAUGACAACAGCAUCAAAUCAGCCAAGAAGUAAUAACCCCGUACCAUCAAUGGACAAUUUUUACAAACUUUAUCCACCAUUACAUAUUAGCCCAGGGGGUUUGAAACUUUUACUAGGAAUUUGGUGGAUUCAACAGAUAAAUUUUUAAUAAAUGCUAUAUUUGUUCAAAUGUAUGAAUAUGUUGAACCAGGGUCAAUCAAAGCAGUAAUAUCAGUAUAAAAAGGGGAAAAAGUACCAGUAAUGACGUUUGGUGCAGAGGCAUCCUCUAUUGCACGAAUAACAUAUGUUCUUGUACCUCGGUUAUCACUCAUAUUAUUGAGGUUAUGAGGUGGUCUACCUCUCGAGGCGGGGUUACUCGGCCUUGAAGUCUGAAUAAUAUCUUUUUCAAGCCUUUCUGGGUAGCCUUUGAGAUAAUGAUCAAGAGAACCGCACUAAAACACGCUCCACUUCUCAUGCGACAUUCACCAAAAUGAAAUUUAUUACAAUGUUUGCAUCUGGGUUUGGGACUUUUGACACUUUCUGCACUUGCUACUGAUGGGACCAUAGAUCUGAGAUUAGAGUGUUGAGCGCUCCAAUCUCUUCCACAAUACCUCACAAAUGUGGUAGAGAGAUCGUGAUAUUUCUUUGAUUUCUUUGAAGUCGAUGGUUGUGACUUUCCCAUAAAUCUUUUAGUUGAAGUUCGGGCUUCCAUCUCUACUUACCUCUUUUCUUUACUUAAUUCUUCAGCUUUAUGUGCUCGGGCAACUAGAAUAACGAAUUAUUUUAAUUCUAGAAUCCCAAUUAACAACUUGAUGUCUUUAUUUAAUCCUUCUUUAAAACGUUUACACAUGGCAACUUUAGUCGGGAUGCACUCUCUAGCAUAUUUACUUAAUUUGACAAAUUACCGCUCGUAUUUAGAUACAUUCAUAUUCCCUUAUUUGAGCUCUAAAAAUUCUUCCCUUUUUUGAUUAAGAAAUCUCUGGCUAAUAUAUUUCUUUUUGAAUUCUAUUUGGAAAAAUUCUCAUGUAACAAUCUCCCUCGGUACAACAGAAACUAGAGUAUUUCGCCAUUAAUAAGUCGAAUCUUCUACCAAAGAUACUGCACAUUUCAAACAUUCAGCUGGUGUACAAGAUAACUCAUCUAGAACCCUGAUGGUGUUUUCUAACUAAAAUUUAUCCUUUUCGGAUCAUCUUCAGCAAUGACCCUAAAUUCUUCUGCCCCAUAUUUUUGAAAUUUAUCUACCGGAGGCUUACCAGUUCUAACAAGUUUAGUACCUUAUGGUAUAUCAGGAACUGAUUGAGGAAUAGGAGAGGGAGGUUGUUGUGCAGCAGGAUUUGUUCCCAAGUAUUCAGUGAACGAUUCAUUCAUCAUUUGAAAGAAGGCUUCUUUAGCCUCCUCACAUCGGCCCUUAGAUACGGGGGCUUUCUACUACUGGAAAUAGCUCCCUGAACUGAAGCUUAAGCAUUACUCUCAGCUUCUUCGGAUUCAGCUUGCUUGAACAACAUUACUAUAUGAAAAACAUGUUUAAAAUGGUCAGGAGAUAUCACACUAUCACAAAUUAUAUAAUGGCAUAUAUAGCUAAACUCGUACUUGCAACGUUAGUCCAAGAAUCGACUAGAUCGUAGCUCUGAUACCAAUAAAUGUAACACCCCUAACCCAUAUCCGUCACCAAAAUAGGGUUACGGGCCAUUACCGGAGUUUAUUAAUCAAUUAUGAUUAUUUCAUACCAUUUACUAUUUAUAUCCAAAAUCAAACGUAUUCAAUCAUAAUGUCCCUUAUAUGGGCCCUCGAGACCUAAUUUAUGCAUUAGAAACUAGUCGGGACUAAAUCAGGAACUUAGAGAAUUUUUUACAAAAUUUUAAAUUUUUUUCUUAGGUGCAAGGGACACAUGCCCGUGUGGCCAGCACACGGCCAAGUAACAGGUCCAUUUCCUCGGCUGUGUGGGCAGUUGAUGUGAGGCGCAUGGCUGUGUCGUAGCCCAUGUAACUCUCUGACUUGGGUCACACGGCCAGCCACACGCCCGUGUGCUAGACCGUGUAGACAAUUUAAUUUUCAAAAAUUAGGUACAGGGGACACACGACCAAACCACACACCCGUGUGCAUGGCCGUGUGUCAUACACGACUGAGACAAACGCCCGUGUCUCUGCUUGUGUGGACAUAAUAAGACCAUUUCCAAGCCUAUUUCUCACCCAAACUUGUCUUCCACCUACAUAAACAAUUAAAUACAUUUACCAACCAAUUAAAAACAUUAAAACUAAGGCAAUACCAAGUCUUAUGCAUAUCAUAUUAUCACUUAUGUUCAAGUGUCCAAAUUACCAAAUAUAUAUAUAUGUACAAAUAGACAUAUUUAACUAACUAUACUACCUCAAUCCAUCCAUCAAUGGAUUUAUAUACUAUCCAUCAUUUAACCAUUUUAAUACACAUAUCACACAUGAUAAGGCCUAAUAUAAUUUUAUCAAAAUAUGUCAAAUACUAGUCAUUCCAAUGGCUAGUUACAACCAAAACAUUAACGUGCCAACAUAGGCUAAUUAACCUAUACAUGCCAUUAUAUUCAAAAUAAAAUUUGCCAUUUUAUACCAAAACAAGCUGAAGGAUAGUGUAAUGUGUCUCCGACUCACGUCCAAACCUUACGAGCUUUCGAGUACUAUAAAAAAGAGAAAUUAAAAUAAAGUAAGCAUAUAAUGCUUAGUAAGUUCGUAUAAUGAGAAAUUAACUUACCAAUCAUUUUCAUUAAAAUAACAUAUAAAUGACAUCUAAACAAUUUGGCUUAAAGCCUAAAACACACAAAAUUUCAGUAAUCAUGUUAAUCAAAUAACUCACAUAAAUACCAAGAACAUGAAUGAGCUCAUCAUGUAACGACUUCCAUAUAGAUAUGCCUUCCAUAUCAUAUUUCCAUUUAACAUGUGCAUUUCCGUGACAAAUCAUCUUAAGUUCAGUUUAGCCAUGUUAGAACUUUGUGUUGGGAAUGUUGGUACCGCCUUGGCGCAGCGAAAAUUAAUAAAAAAAUAAUUCCAGCGAUCCAAUCCAUGGAUUCAUGUGUGAGGAACGAAUCGGGGUGAAAUAAUGGUUUCGAAAUUACCGUAAUUUCAAUCUGUGUAGACAGCAGUGCCUCCUCAAUGAGCAUUCUAAUCUACUAUCGAACCAAGCCGCAACCUUUUGUGAUUCCGACCUCUACGUAAUCCACACGGUUUGACAAUGAACGGAAGAAAUCCCCAAAACUGUUUUAGAGAAUUCUUUGCUUGACGGCUGCUAGACUUCACAAGCAAAAUUUCGGGAUUUUAUUUCUUAGGUUUUUUAAAACUCUCCCACACUGACCCUCUUAUAAUUGGUGUAUAUAUAAUGAAUCAUAAUUCAUAAAAUUUUUAUCCAAACAUAAUAAUCAUAAUUAAAAUUAAAUAUAAUAAUGUUUUAAACCUAAAAUUAUAAUUACAUUAAUUAUAAUAAGGAUUUCGGUAAACUAUAUUUAUUUAAAUUUAUAUACGAACCAAAUUCAUAUAUUGAUAGAACUAUGUUCUCAUUAUGUGUACAACAACCUUGUACAUAUAAUAUGUUCGAUAUUUGAUUACCCAAUUAAAUCAAUUCUAUAAUUAAUUUAAUUCAUGUGACAACCAAACACAAUACCAACUAUGUUUUAUUUCGUUCAUUUCAACCAUAGGGUGUGACCUUGUAGGUUUUUGUAACCUUAGCAAUAAUACUAAAAUGAUUCUAAUGUUACAAACAAUGAGUGGCAUCUAGCAAUGCAUCAUUGCUACCUAAGUUAUAAGAAAUCAUGAUUCGACAUAACUUUUUUGCGAUUAACCUUUCAUGCAUUAAUCCUUAAGUCCUUUAUCUCUGGAUUGGACACAAGUCAGGGAAUAGUCACACUUGCAUAGCCCAUCCCAUGUUCCUUGAUAUCUUGAGUAGACUAUGAUAUACAAAUAAGUAUGACAUCUCAUAUCAACUUAUUUGAGCAUGGCCAUGCAUUUCUAGUCUCACUCAAUCAAGUGGCCUAAGAUAUUACUCCCAUUAUGUAGGAGGGACUUAUCCUAUAUUGAUCAACCAUAUCCCUCUACUUAGAUUGUGGUAUAUCCAACAUCAGCCUUUAUAGAACAACCAGUUACUGUGUACGUUUGACUGUAUCAAAAUAUACAACUCACGAUGUUGGGAUAAUGAUGAUCUCAAGUCUGAGGAUCAUAUACAUAUUAAUCACUAUGAGUAAUGUUGUGACAAUUACAUAAUAAUCCAAGAAACAUACUGAUAGCAGGUCAUCCAAUAUGUUUGUUCUCUAGCACACAUAUUCAUGCAUUGAUUUUGACACUCCAUAUCAAUGACAACUCUUUAUCAUUAAUAAACUACAUGUUAGUCUUAAUGCAUUAUUCUUGUCCUAGUCAACAAUAAUACUUGACUAAGGACCUUUUAAGAAUAAUCAUAUUAUUCUCAGGACAUUAUUAUAAAAUAGUUUAUUUAUACUCACAAAAAAGAAACUGAAAUAAUAAUGGUAACGCCUUAUAUUGCCUUAUAUUAAUAAACAUGAUAAAUUAAGUAUGUUAUUACAAUCAUCUCAUGAUUGAUCUGUGGGCAUACUCUUACACUUUGCUCGUUGAAUUUAUUUGAAAUAUUGAUGGAUACACAUGUAGUACACUCAAAGUGUACAAAACUGUAAUCUGUCACUCAUAUCCGGGGGUAAUCAUUAGAGCACAUAAUCAGGAAGCACUCUCUCGAGCCAUAUAACAAGAAGCUCAUGUGAGCCAUAUAACGGAAAGCUUUUCCGGGCUUAAUAACAGGAAGCUCAUAAGAGCUUAAAACAGAAAGCUCAUGUGAGCUUAACAGGUAACUCCGAAGAGCUAUUAUCAGGAAGCUUCGGAUAGCCAAAUAUCAGGAAGUUCAAGCGAGCCAUAACAAGAAGCUCAUUAAGAGCCUUAUAUCGGGGCGCUCAUAAAGAGCUACGGAAUGUUCACAAUAUAUGUAGGAUCAAUACCGAUCAUAUAACAGGAUGCUCACAAAGAGCUGCGGUAUGUCUGCAACACAUUCAGGAUCAAUACCGAUCGGGAUGCUCGCAGGAACCAUGUAACAGGAUGCUCAAGAGGCUUAUAACAGGACACUCUUCCGAGCUAUGGUGUGUCCACAACAUAUGCAGAACCUCGACCAAUACAAAAAAUCCUUUAUCCAUCGAAUUUCAUUUAUUCAAACGAGAUUUAUUAUUUAUCGAGGAUAAUUGGACAUGUGAUCAAUUUCAUACAUAAGGCAUUUAUAUUAUUCACAUAUACAACAUUCAAUUCAAGCAUAUAAAUAUACACAAUUUAGUUACACGAACUUACCUCGACACUUGUUCGUAUACAAGAAUCUACUAAUCCGAUACUUUUUCUUUUCCUCGAUCUAACUCCUUAUUUGAUCUUUCCGGAUCUAUAUAAAUGAAUUUAACAUCAAUUUAACACAUUUCAUAUCCAAUUCAAUCCAAUUUAUAUCUUAGACAAAAGUACCAUUUUGCCGUUAUACUUUUGAUUAAUUCCAAUUUCGUCCCUAGCUCGGAAAAUGAAAUUCAUGCAAUUUAAUCCUUAUUCCAAGCCUAACCAAAAUUUUCAUAUAACAUUUACAGCCCAUGUAUUUCAAAAAAUUCAAAAAUUUUCCAUGAACUUUACAUCUUUACAAAUUAGUCCCUAAAUCACAAUUUCAUCAAAAUUUACUUUAAAAAAGUUGUUUAUCUAUCAACAACCUUUCAUUUUCUACCAUAAAUUUCAAAAUUUCAGCAUACUCAUCCAUGAAGAACUUUUAAUACCUUGAUAAAUUUACAAAUUAAUCCCCAAAAUAGGUAGAUUAGGUUACUACGAUCUCAGAAAUAUAAAAAUUACUAAAAACGUGACAAGAAUUCAUACCUAAUUGAGCCAAAACAACUUGCUUGAACUCAUUUUAUCUUAGCUAGGGUUUCCAUGUAUUUUAAUUUGGGGAAGAUGAUGAAAUAAGAUGAUAUUAGCUUAUUUCCAUCUUUAAUUAAUUCAAUUUCCAAUUUAGUCCUUUUCUUUUUCUAAUUUUCCAUGGAUGAAUCAUUAUAAUAUCUCCUAACUCCAUUUAAUGGUCUAAUUUCCAUUUAAGGACCUCAAAUUUUGAAUUCUAUAGCUAUUUAAUCCUUUUAGCUAUUAGAAUUCAACUUUUUCUUUUUAUGCAAUUUGGUCCUUUCUAUAAUUAAACAUGUAAUCGAUAAAAAUUUUGCAACAAAAUUUUUAUACGUUAUUUCUAUCAUAAUGCAGACCAUGCAAUAAUAUUAAAAUAAUUUUUCUUUUUGACUCGAAUUUGUGGUCCCGAAACCACUGUUCCGAUUUCACUAAAAAUGGGCUGUUACAAUAGCAGAGAAGAUCGUUUGGUUGAAAUCCGAAGGACAUCAAGGAUCCGUUUAUCUAAAACAUAGGUACGAAUUCAAUGAAGGUUUAUUGCUAUAAAUAUCACAAACUGGAUUGGUUUUCAAAAUUUUAAUAUUUUAAUGUGCAAGAAAAUCAUUUUCAAAUAGAAUUUUUUCCAACAAGGUAGUGGUUGAGUAAAGAAAGGGAAAUAUUGUUGACGAUCAAACUUAACAAAAAAUCAAGUUGAUAGAAUUUAAAGGAGAAUUCUUUGAGAAUUCAAAAUAUUGAAAAUUCCAAAAUUGCCAAAAGUUCAUUCACCAAUUGUGGAAGGCACCUAUUUAUAGUGUUUCAAGAAUAUGAGUUAUAAAGCUGGUAAUUAAUGAUAGUAAUGAUAAAUAUUUUUUAGUUACAAUUACUUUAAUGAUUAAGAAGGGAUAGCAAAAGGUUUCGUUGGUGAUGGUGAAUAGUGAAGAAGAAUUCAUUAUGUUUAUAAAAGGAGGAAAAAAACACUUAACGUUACAAGAAAAGGUUAAGAGGAGAACUUUUAACUACCUCCAUAUCUGAUCCACCAAGCCAAGAUCUCUGAAACAUCUCAAAAGUGAAUAUAACCCAAGAACCCCACCAUAUUCGGGGAUUACUUUCACUUCUUCUACUUUGGUGAAGCGGUACCACGUGAAACAUUUUUCGUGCAACAUCUCUUGAAAUGCAAGACGAUGGUUGUUCUUGGAUGCGAGUUGUUCUUGAACAAGAGUUGUUUCAAACAAUGAUUGUUCUAUACAUAAUUAUUCUUAAAAUGCCAUUAUUCUAAACAAGAAUCGUUCUCAAAUAACAACUAUAUUGAAUGACAAUUAUUCUAACUGAAGCCCUAUUUUGAACAUAGUUAUUUUCGAACAAUAGUUGCUCUGAACAAUAACUAUUUUAAACAAGAGUUGUUGCAUUAGAAGAGAUACACUUAAAAAGCAUAUUUUCUUAAAAUAUAAUAUUAUUUAUCUUUAUUUCAAGGGAGAGAUAAAAUGUUAGUAAUUAAAGUCGAAUAUCUACAUUUUGCCUUCUGUGUGAGACUUUUUAGUAAAAGAAAUUUUUAUGCAAGAAUUGUGUAGUAAAAAUAAAUAAAUAAAAUAAUUUUAUACUUGUAAUUCUUUUUAAUUCAAUAUUGUCUUUGUUGCCAUUGUUCUACAUGAAUUUGUUUUGUAUGUUGAGUGGUGUUUUGAAAAAAAAUGAUUAAAUGAUAAGGAGAUUUCUUGAGGAAAAACUAAUUCAUAAAGUAAGGUAGUAAAAGUAAGAUGGGAUAUGGUAUGCAUAUUAAAGAAGUCGAGGGUUUUGGCAUGAUAAACCUUAAAACAAAUAACACUACACUGUUAUCUAAAUGGUGGUAGAGAUUCGCUAAAGAACUUGACUCUUUGUGGUGCAAAUUAAUCACUACAGAAUAUAGAGUGCAAGUGCAAUAAUGGAUUCUUGCAAUUGGAAAAAGAAUGAGCAUGUUGAAUGUAUGAAGACAGAUUGUGGAUGUCCAACAAGAGGAAGGGGUGGAAAGUUUAAUUGGUGCUAAUGGUUACACGUGGUGUCCUGGUAACUGGAGAGAAACUUUGAUUUGGCGGGAUAGAUAGCAUGGUGAAUGUGCUCUCAAGCACCAAUACUGUUGGGUUUUAAAUUGAGUUAAUCCACAAAGAAUCAAUUUAAAUCACAAUGAAUUGAUUCAAACAAUAAACAAUCGAUUCAAACUACCAAAGAAACGAGAAAGAGAGCAAAAUAAGCCAAAGGUUGCAGUUUAUCUUGUCUGUAAUAUGCUCUACUUCAUUCUCACUUGUUUUUGAAGCAAUCAAUUGAUCUGUUUGUUUUUUUAAAAGGAACGAGCCAAUUAGCAAUAAAAAUGAUAUGCUAAAUAAAUUGUUUCUACUUUGUCCAUAUUCUCAACCAAGGUGGAUAUUUCUCCUUUCUACUGUCUCUCAUUACUUUUCUUUUCUUUAUCAACAAACAAGAAAAAAUAAAGGCCCUCAAAGAUCACAGGCUUUAGAUAGCAUUUGUUGGGGUUUUACAACAACAAAAGCAAAGAACAAGAUAGAGAACAAAACAACAAGAAGCUUGAUAUAAUUUACUUGCUAAAAAUGUGUAGUAAGGAAUGAAAAACUUAUUUUCAUUACCAUUAUCAUAGCAAUACAUGAUUUUUAUAGACAAUCAUCUUACCAAACACAACUAACACCACUAAUCAACCUAGUAAGUUGUGAAACAUUGCUUGUACACUCAAACAAGCCAGUUAAACAAGUCAUUCAACUAUCUAAACACAUCAAGCUGUCAUUAAGCUUAUUCAUUUUCAACCAAACUAAAUUACAUUGCAAUUAAAAUAAAAAGCUUGUUAAUGUAGCACGCAUACAAGCUGUAUGCACUCAUCAUAGCAGCAUGGUUAGCCACUUUUCAACAAAUACCCAAGGCUUUUUAUGCUUGUUUGUGGACAAGUAUGCAAAGAUUGUCAAGUAUGCUAUAAAUGAGAGGUUUUGUAAUGGGAAGUGGAGCUCUUUGUACAACUUCGGUGAAACUAGAGGAAUCAAAGGGCUCAGUUAUUUGGGAAAAAUGAUGCUCAUGGGGUUUUCUCAGUAAAAAAAGGUCUCAUUGGUUCUAAAUCAAUUUUCAUUGUCAUAUGAUAACUUUGAAUUUGAUAAAUUGUGGUGCUUAAAAGUACCAUUAAAAGUGCAAUGUUUUGUAUGGUUGUNNNNNNNNNNNNNNNNNNNNNNNNNNNNNNNNNNNNNNNNNNNNNNNNNNNNNNNNNNNNNNNNNNNNNNNNNNNNNNNNNNNNNNNNNNNNNNNNNNNNNNNNNNNNNNNNNNNNNNNNNNNNNNNNNNNNNNNNNNNNNNNNNNNNNNNNNNNNNNNNNNNNNNNNNNNNNNNNNNNNNNNNNNNNNNNNNNNNNNNNNNNNNNNNNNNNNNNNNNNNNNNNNNNNNNNNNNNNNNNNNNNNNNNNNNNNNNNNNNNNNNNNNNNNNNNNNNNNNNNNNNNNNNNNNNNNNNNNNNNNNNNNNNNNNNNNNNNNNNNNNNNNNNNNNNNNNNNNNNNNNNNNNNNNNNNNNNNNNNNNNNNNNNNNNNNNNNNNNNNNNNNNNNNNNNNNNNNNNNNNNNNNNNNNNNNNNNNNNNNNNNNNNNNNNNNNNNNNNNNNNNNNNNNNNNNNNNNNNNNNNNNNNNNNNNNNNNNNNNNNNNNNNNNNNNNNNNNNNNNNAAAGAUGGAAAUAAGCUAAUAUCAUCUUAUUUCAUCAUCUUCCCCAAAUUAAAAUACAUGGAAACCCUAGCUAAGAUAAAAUGAGUUCAAGCAAGUUGUUUUGGCUCAAUUAGGUAUGAAUUCUUGUCACGUUUUUAGUAAUUUUUAUAUUUCUGAGAUCGUAGUAACCUAAUCUACCUAUUUUGGGGAUUAAUUUGUAAAUUUAUCAAGGUAUUAAAAGUUAUUCAUGGAUGAGUAUGCUGAAAUUUUGAAAUUUAUGGUAGAAAAUGAAAGGUUGUUGAUAGAUAAACAACUUUUUUAAAGUAAAUUUUGAUGAAAUUGUGAUUUAGGGACUAAUUUGUAAAGAUGUAAAGUUCAUGGAAAAUUUUUGAAUUUUUUGAAAUACAUGGGCUGUAAAUGUUAUAUGAAAAUUUUGGUUAGGCUUGGAAUAAGGAUUAAAUUGCAUGAAUUUCAUUUUCCGAGCUAGGGACGAAAUUGGAAUUAAUCAAAAGUAUAACGGCAAAAUGGUACUUUUGUCUAAGAUAUAAAUUGGAUUGAAUUGGAUAUGAAAUGUGUUAAAUUGAUGUUAAAUUCAUUUAUAUAGAUCCGGAAAGAUCAAAUAAGGAGUUAGAUCGAGGAAAAGAAAAAGUAUCGGAUUAGUAGAUUCUUGUAUACGAACAAGUGUCGAGGUAAGUUCGUGUAACUAAAUUGUGUAUAUUUAUAUGCUUGAAUUGAAUGUUGUAUAUGUGAAUAAUAUAAAUGCCUUAUGUAUGAAAUUGAUCACAUGUCCAAUUAUCCUCGAUAAAUAAUAAAUCUCGUUUGAAUAAAUGAAAUUCGAUGGAUAAAGGAUUUUUUGUAUUGGUCGAGGUUCUGCAUAUGUUGUGGACACACCAUAGCUCAGAAGAGUGUCCUGUUAUAAGCCUCUUGAGCAUCCUGUUACAUGGUUCCUGCGAGCAUCCCGAUCGGUAUUGAUCCUGAAUGUGUUGCAGACAUACCGCAGCUCUUUGUGAGCAUCCUGUUAUAUGAUCGGUAUUGAUCCUACAUAUAUUGUGAACAUUCCGUAGCUCUUUAUGAGCGCCCCGAUAUAAGGCUCUUAAUGAGCUUCUUGUUAUGGCUCGCUUGAACUUCCUGAUAUUUGGCUAUCCGAAGCUUCCUGAUAAUAGCUCUUCGGAGUUACCUGUUAAGCUCACAUGAGCUUUCUGUUUUAAGCUCUUAUGAGCUUCGUGUUAUUAAGCCCGGAAAAGCUUUCCGUUAUAUGGCUCACAUGAGCUUCUUGUUAUAUGGCUCGGGAGAGUGCUUCCUGAUUAUGUGCUCUAAUGAUUACCCCCGGAUAUGAGUGACAGAUUACAGUUUUGUACACUUUGAGUGUACUACAUGUGUAUCCAUCAAUAUUUCAAAUAAAUUCAACGAGCAAAGUGUAAGAGUAUGCCCACAGAUCAAUCAUGAGAUGAUUGUAAUAACAUACUUAAUUUAUCAUGUUUAUUAAUAUAAGGCAAUAUAAGGCGUUACCAUUAUUAUUUCAAUUUCUUUUUUGUGAGUAUAAAUAAACUAUUUUAUAAUAAUGUCCUGAGAAUAAUAUGAUUAUUCUUAAAAGGUCCUUAGUCAAGUAUUAUUGUUGACUAGGACAAGAAUAAUGCAUUAAGACUAACAUGUAGUUUAUUAAUGAUAAAGAGUUGUCAUUGAUAUGGAGUGUCAAAAUCAAUGCAUGAAUAUGUGUGCUAGAGAACAAACAUAUUGGAUGACCCGCUAUCAGUAUGUUUCUUGGAUUAUUAUGUAAUUGUCACAACAUUACUCAUAGUGAUUAAUAUGUAUAUGAUCCUCAGACUUGAGAUCAUCAUUAUCCCAACAUCGUGAGUUGUAUAUUUUGAUACAGUCAAACGUACACAGUAACUGGUUGUUCUAUAAAGGCUGAUGUUGGAUAUACCACAAUCUAAGUAGAGGGAUAUGGUUGAUCAAUAUAGGAUAAGUCCCUCCUACAUAAUGGGAGUAAUAUCUUAGGCCACUUGAUUGAGUGAGACUAGAAAUGCAUGGCCAUGCUCAAAUAAGUUGAUAUGAGAUGUCAUACUUAUUUGUAUAUCAUAGUCUACUCAAGAUAUCAAGGAACAUGGGAUGGACUAUGCAAGUGUGACUAUUCCCUGACUUGUGUCCAAUCCAGAGAUAAAGGACUUAAGGAUUAAUGCAUGAAAGGUUAAUCGCAAAAAAGUUAUGUCGAAUCAUGAUUUCUUAUAACUUAGGUAGCAAUGAUGCAUUGCUAGAUGCCACUCAUUGUUUGUAACAUUAGAAUCGUUUUAGUAUUAUUGCUAAGGUUACAAAAACCUACAAGGUCACACCCUAUGGUUGAAAUGAACGAAAUAAAACAUAGUUGGUAUUGUGUUUGGUUGUCACAUGAAUUAAAUUAAUUAUAGAAUUAAUUUAAUUGGGUAAUCAAAUAUCGAACAUAUUAUAUGUACAAGGUUGUUGUACACAUAAUGAGAACAUAGUUCUAUCAAUAUAUGAAUUUGGUUCGUAUAUAAAUUUAAAUAAAUAUAUUUUACCGAAAUCCUUGUUAUAAUUAAUGUAAUUAUAAUUUUAGGUUUAAAACAUUAUUAUAUUUAAUUUUAAUUAUGAUUAUUAUGUUUGGAUAAAAAUUUUAUGAAUUAUGAUUCAUUAUAUAUACACCAAUUAUAAGAGGGUCAGUGUGGGAGAGUUUUAAAAAACCUAAGAAAUAAAAUCCCGAAAUUUUGCUUGUGAAGUCUAGCAGCCGUCAAGCAAAGAAUUCUCUAAAACAGUUUUGGGGAUUUCUUCCGUUCAUUGUCAAACCGUGUGGAUUACGUAGAGGUCGGAAUCACAAAAGGUUGCGGCUUGGUUCGAUAGUAGAUUAGAAUGCUCAUUGACGAGGCACUGCUGUCUACACAGAUUGAAAUUACGGUAAUUUCGAAACCAUUAUUUCACCCCGAUUCGUUCCUCACACAUGAAUCCAUGGAUUGGAUCGCUGGAAUUAUUUUUUUAUUAAUUUUUGCUGCGCCAAGGCGGUACCAACAUUCCCAACACAAAGUUCUAACAUGGCUAAACUGAACUUAAGAUGAUUUGUCACGGAAAUGCACAUGUUAAAUGGAAAUAUGAUAUGGAAGGCAUAUCUAUAUGGAAGUCGUUACAUGAUGAGCUCAUUCAUGUUCUUGGUAUUUAUGUGAGUUAUUUGAUUAACAUGAUUACUGAAAUUUUGUGUGUUUUAGGCUUUAAGCCAAAUUGUUUAGAUGUCAUUUAUAUGUUAUUUUAAUGAAAAUGAUUGGUAAGUUAAUUUCUCGUUAUACGAACUUACUAAGCAUUAUAUGCUUACUUUAUUUUAAUUUCUCUUUUUUAUAGUACUCGAAAGCUCGUAAGGUUUGGACGUGAGUCGGAGACACAUUACACUAUCCUUCAGCUUGUUUUGGUAUAAAAUGGCAAAUUUUAUUUUGAAUAUAAUGGCAUGUAUAGGUUAAUUAGCCUAUGUUGGCACGUUAAUGUUUUGGUUGUAACUAGCCAUUGGAAUGGCUAGUAUUUGACAUAUUUUGAUAAAAUUAUAUUAGGCCUUAUCAUGUGUGAUAUGUGUAUUAAAAUGGUUAAAUGAUGGAUAGUAUAUAAAUCCAUUGAUGGAUGGAUUGAGGUAGUAUAGUUAGUUAAAUAUGUCUAUUUGUACAUAUAUAUAUAUUUGGUAAUUUGGACACUUGAACAUAAGUGAUAAUAUGAUAUGCAUAAGACUUGGUAUUACCUUAGUUUUAAUGUUUUGAAUUGGUUGGUAAAUGUAUUUAAUUGUUUAUGUAGGUGGAAGACAAGUUUGGGUGAGAAAUAGGCUUGGAAAUGGUCUUAUUAUGUCCACACAAGCAGAGACACGGGCGUUUGUCUCAGUCGUGUAUGACACACGGCCAUGCACACGGGUGUGUGGUUUGGUCGUGUGUCCCCUGUACCUAAUUUUUGAAAAUUAAAUUGUCUACACGGUCUAGCACACGAGCGUGUGGCUGGCCGUGUGACCCAAGUCAGAGAGUUACAUGGGCUACGACACAGCCAUGCGCCUCACAUCAACUGCCCACACAGCCGAGGAAAUGGACCUGUCACUUGGCCGUGUGCUGGCCACACGGGCAUGUGUCCCUUGCACCUAAGAAAAAAAUUUAAAAUUUUGUAAAAAAUUCUCUAAGUUCCUGAUUUAGUCCCGACUAGUUUCUAAUGCAUAAAUUAGGUCUCGAGGGCCCAUAUAAGGGACAUUAUGAUUGAAUACGUUUGAUUUUGGAUAUAAAUAGUAAAUGGUAUGAAAUAAUUAUAAUUGAUUAAUAAACUCUGGUAAUGGCCCGUAACCCUAUUUUGGUGACGGAUAUGGGUUAGGGGUGUUACAUUUAUUGGUAUCAGAGCUACGAUCUAGUCGAUUCUUGGACUAACGUUGCAAGUACGAGUUUAGCUAUAUAUGCCAUUAUAUAAUUUGUGAUAGUGUGAUAUCUCCUGACCAUUUUAAACAUGUUUUUCAUAUAGUAAUGUUGUUCAAGCAAGCUGAAUCCGAAGAAGCUGAGAGUAAUGCUUAAGCUUCAGUUCAGGGAGCUAUUUCCAGUAGUAGAAAGCCCCCGUAUCUAAGGGCCGAUGUGAGGAGGCUAAAGAAGCCUUCUUUCAAAUGAUGAAUGAAUCGUUCACUGAAUACUUGGGAACAAAUCCUGCUACACAACAACCUCCCUCUCCUAUUCCUCAAUCAGUUCCUGAUAUACCAUAAGGUACUAAACUUGUUAGAACUGGUAAGCCUCCGGUAGAUAAAUUUCAAAAAUAUGGGGCAGAAGAAUUUAGGGUCAUUGCUGAAGAUGAUCCGAAAAGGGUAAAUUUUAGUUAGAAAACACCAUCAGGGUUCUAGAUGAGUUAUCUUGUACACCAGCUGAAUGUUUGAAAUGUGCAGUAUCUUUGGUAGAAGAUUCGACUUAUCAGUGGCGAAAUACUCUAGUUUCUGUUGUACCGAGAGAGAUUGUUACAUGAGAAUUUUUCCAAAUAGAAUUCAAAAAGAAAUAUAUUAGCCAGAGAUUUCUUAAUCAAAAAAGGGAAGAAUUUUUAGAGCUCAAAUAAGGGAAUAUGAAUGUAUCUAAAUACGAGCGGUAAUUUGUCAAAUGAAGUAAAUAUGCUAGAGAGUGCAUCCCGACUAAAGUUGCCAUGUGUAAACGUUUUAAAGAAGGAUUAAAUAAAGACAUCAAGUUGUUAAUUGGGAUUCUAGAAUUAAAAGAAUUCGUUAUUCUAGUUGCCCGAGCACAUAAAGCUGAAGAAUUAAGUAAAGAAAAGAGGUAAGUAGAGAUGGAAGCCCGAACUUCAACUAAAAGAUUUAUGGGAAAGUCACAACCAUCGACUUCAAAGAAAUCAAAGAAAUAUCACGAUCUCUCUACCACAUUUGUGAGGUAUUGUGGAAGAGAUUGGAGCGCUCAACACUCUAAUCUCAGAUCUAUGGUCCCAUCAGUAGCAAGUGCAGAAAGUGUCAAAAGUCCCAAACCCAGAUGCAAACAUUGUAAUAAAUUUCAUUUUGGUGAAUGUCGCAUGAGAAGUGGAGCGUGUUUUAGUGCGGUUCUCUUGAUCAUUAUCUCAAAGGCUACCCAGAAAGGCUUGAAAAAGAUAUUAUUCAGAGAUCAAGGCCGAGUAACCCCGCCUCGAGAGGUAGACCACCUCAUAACCUCAAUAAUAUGAGUGAUAACCGAGGUACAAGAACAUAUGUUAUUCGUGUAAUAGAGGAUGCCUCUGCACCAAACGUCAUUACUGGUACUUUUUCCCCUUUUUAUACUGAUAUUACUGCUUUGAUUGACCCUGGUUCAACAUAUUCAUACAUUUGAACAAAUAUAGCAUUUAUUAAAAAUUUAUCUGUUGAAUCCACCAAAUUCCUAGUAAAAGUUUCAAACCCCCUGGGCUAAUAUGUAAUGGUGGAUAAAGUUUGUAAAAAUUGUCCAUUGAUGGUACGGGGUUAUUACUUCUUGGCUGAUUUGAUGUUGUUGUCAUUUGAUGAAUUUGAUGUAAUUUUGGGUAUGGACUGGUUGACUCAGCAUGAUGCCGUAGUAAAUUGUAAACAAAAAUAUAUCAUGUUAAAAUGUCAGAAUGGUGAGUUGUUUCAUAUUGAAUUUAAUAAAUUAGAUGGGUUGUCUAAUGUAAUAUCAGCCGUGACAGCAUAGAAAUAUAUCAGAAAAGGGUAUGAUGCUCACCUUGCCUAUGUGUUGGAAACUAAAGUAUCCGAGGCAAAGAUUAAAUUAGUGCCAGUAGUAUAUGAGUACUCUGAUGUAUUUCCAGAAGAAUUACCUAGAUUACCGCCAAUUAGAGAGGUUGAAUUUUCUACAAAUCUUGUUCUGGGGACAACUCCUAUAUCUAUAGCACCUUACAGAAUGGCCCCCACAGAGUUAAAAGAGAUGAAAGCACAGUUGCAAGAAUUGACUAACAGAGGUUUCGCUCGACCUAGUUCUUCACCGGGAGGUGCAUCUGUUUUAUUUGUUAGAAAGAAAGAUGAAUCGUUGAGAUUAUGUAUUUAUUACCGACAGCUCAACAAAGUCACAAUAAAGAACAAGUAUCAUUUUCCUCUAUUGAUGACAUGUUUGAUCAGUUGAAAUGUGCCAUUAUAUUUUCAAAGAUUGAUCUUCGUUCUGCCUACUAUCAGUUACGAGUAAAAGACUCAGAUAUACCAAAGAUAGCCUUUAGAACCCGGUAUGGACACUAUGAGUGUCUUGUGAUGCCGUUUGGCUUGACAAAUGCACCUGCGAUAUUUAUGGAUUUGAUGAAUAGAAUUUUUAGACCGUAUUUAGAUAGAUUUGUAGUGGUAUUUAUUGAUGAUAUCCUGGUAUAUUCCCGAGAUGAAAAUGAAGAUGCUGACCAUUUGAGAAUUGUGCUGCAAACUCUGCGUGAGAAACAGUUGUAUGCCAAAUUCAGUAAAUGUGAAUUUUAGCUUUGGGAAGUUGGUUUUCUUAGACAUAUAAUAUCUGCUGAAAGUAUCAGAGUAGACCCGAAUAAAAUUUCAGUGAUAGUUAACUGGAAACCACAAAAAAAUGUGUCUGAAGUCAGAAGUUUUCUAGGACUAGCUGGAUAUUACCGGAGGUUUGUAAAAGGAUUUUCAAUGAUAUCCUCUCUAAUGACACGAUUGUUACAGAAAGAUGUGAAGUUUGAAUGGACUGAUAAAUGUCAGCAGAGUUUUGACAGAUUGAAAACCUUGUUGACUGAAGCACCAGUAUUAGUUCAGCCUGAAUAGGGUAAGGAAUUUGCGACUUAUAGUGAUGCAUCAUUGAAUGGUUUAGGCUGUGUCUUGAUGCAAGAAGGUAAAGUAAUAGCCUAUGCUUCUAGACAAUUAAAACCACAUGAAAAGAAUUAUCUGAUACAUGAUUUAGAAUUGGCAGCUAUUAUUUUUGCACUGAAAAUUUGGCAGCACUAUUUGUUUGGUGAAAAAUGUCAUAUAUUCACUGAUUACAAAAGUGUAAAGUAUAUGAUGCAAAAAGACUUGAACUUGAGACAGCGUAGGUGGCUUGAAUUAUUGAAAGAUUAUGAUCUGGUUAUCGAUUAUCAUACGAGAAAAGCCAAUUUGGUUGCAGAUGCUCUAAGCGAAAAGUCUCUGUUUUCUUUGUGAGUAAUAAAUACUCGAUUUUCAUUGUCUAAUGAUGGUUCAAUUAUAGCUGAACUACAACCUAAAUCGACAUUUCUACAGCAGAUUUGCGAAGCCCAGAAAAAUGAUGAUGAAUUACAAGCUAAACAGGUACAAUGUGAGUCAAAUUCUGAUUUUUUGAAAUUAGUGAAAUUUUGUGUAUUUGAGGCUUUAAGCCAAUUUCUUUUGAUGCCAUUUAUAUGUUAUUUUAAUGAAAAUGAUUGGUAAGUUAAUUUCUCGUUAUACGAACUUACAAAGCAUUAUAUACUUUGUUUUAUUUUCUCUAUUUUAUAGUACUCAGAAGAUUGUAGGGUUUGGAUUUCUGAACUCGUAAGCUCGAAAACUUUUGUAAAGUAAAUUUUGAUGAAAUUGUGAUUUAGGAUCUAAAUUGUAAAGAUGUAAAAUUCAUGGAAAAUUUUUAAACUUUGUGAAAUAAAUGGGCUGUAAAUUUUAUAUGAAAAUUUUGGUUAGGCAUGGAAUAAUGAGUAAAUUGCAUGAAUUUCAUUUUCCGAGCCUAGGGACAAAAUUGGAAUUAAUCAAAAGUAUAGGGGCAAAAUGGUAAUUUUUCCUAAGAUGUAAAUUGGAUUGAAUUGGAUAUGAUCGGUAUUGAUUCUACAUAUACUGCGAACAUACCGCAGCUCUUUAUGAGCAUCCCGAUAUAGGGCUCUUAGUGAGCUUCCUGUUAUGGCUCGCUUGCACUUCCUCAUAUUUGGCUAUCUGGAGCUUCCUGAUAAUAGCUUUUCAGAGUUACCUAUUAAGCUCACAUGAGCUUUCUAUUUUAAGAUCUUAUGAGCUUCCUGUUAUUAAGCUUGGAUAAGCUUCCCGUUACAUGGCUCACAUGAGCUUCAUGUUAUAUGGCUCGAGAGAGUGCUUCUUGAUUAUGUGCUCUAAUGAGUACCCCCGGAUAUGAGUUGACAAAUUACAGUUUUGUACACUUCGAGUGUACUACAUGUGUAUCCAUCGAUAUUUCAAAUAAAUUCAACAGGCAAAGUUCUAACAUGGCUAAACUGAGCUUAAGAUGAUUUGUCAUGGAAAUGCACAUGUUAAAUGGAAAUAUGAUAUGGAAGGCAUAUGUAUAUGGAUGUUAAUACAUGAUGAGCUCAUUCAUGUUCUUAGUAUUUAUGUGAAUUAUUUGACUAACAUGAUUAGGGAAAUUUUGUGUGUUUUAGGCUUUAAGCCAAAUUUUUUGGAUGUCAUUUAUAUGUUAUUUUAAUAAAAAUGAUUGGUAAGUUAAUUUCUCGUUAUACGAACUUUCUAAGUAUUAUAUACUUACUUUGUUUUAUUUUCUCUGUUUUAUAGUACUCGGAAGCUCGUAAGAUUUGGACAUGGGUCGGAGCAACAUCACACUAUCCAUCAGUUUGUUUUGGUAUAAAAUGACAAACUUUUUUUUUGAAUAUAAUGGCAUAUAUAGGUUAAUUAGUCUACGUUGGCACGUUAAUGUUUUGGUUGUAACUAGCAAUUGGAAUGACUAGUAUUUGACAUAUUUUGAUAAAAUUAUAUUAGGCCUUAUCAUGUCUGAUAUGUGUAUUAAAAUGGUUAAAUGAUGGAUAGUAUAUAAAUCUAUUGAUGAAUGAAUUAAGGUAGUAUAGUUAGUUAAAUAUGUCUAUUUGUACAUAUAUAUAUUUGGUAAUUUCGACACUUGAACAUAAGUGAUAAUAUGAUAUGCAUAAGACUUGGUAUUGGCUUAGGUUUAAUGUUUUGAAUUGGUUGGUAAAUGUAUUUAAGUGUUUAUGUAGGUGGAAGACAAGUUUGGGUGAGAAAUAGGCUUGGAAAUGGCCUUAUUAUGUCCACACGGGCAGAGGCACGGACAUGUGUCUCAGCCGUGUGUGACACACGGCCAUUCACACGGGUGUGUGGUUUGGCCAUGUGUCCCUUGCAGCUAAUUUUCGAAAAUUAAAUUGUCCACACAGUUUAGCACACGGGCAUGUGGCUGGCCGUGUGACUCAAGUUAGAGAGUUACACAGGUAUGGACACGGGAUGGGAUAGGGCUGUGUGCCUUACAUCGAAUGCCUACAUGGCCUAAGACACGGGUGUGUCACUUGGCCGUGUGAGCCACACAGCCUAUCCACACGGGCAUGUCCCUUGCACUUAAGAAAAAAUUUUGAAAUUUUGCAAAAAAUUCUCUAAGUUCCCGAUUUAGUCCCGACUGAUUUCUAAUGCAUAAAUUAGGUCUCGAGGCCCAUAUAAAGGACAUUAUGAUUGAAUACGUUUGAUUUUGGAUAUGAAUAGUAAAUUGUAUGAAAUAAUUAUAAUUGAUCAGUAAACUCCGGUAAUGCUCCGUAAACCUGUUCCGGUGACGGAUAUGAGUUAAGGGUGUUACAACUAUUCUCGUACCACAAACUGCUUCGAGUUUGGGCUCGAACCAAUGGAAUUAAAACACAAAACUAGAAAAAGAAAUUCUUUUAGGGUGAAAAUGAAAAAUCUCUCUUCUUUAAUAGAAAUUGGUAAAGUUUUUAUUCUGAAAAAUAUGUUUAUAAUUUGAGAAUAAAUUCUCUCUAUUUUUGGGCAGAAUAACAAUCUCACAAAAGUUGUGUUAGCUCUAUCGUGCCAUCUAUUUAUAGGAAGAGAAGGUAGAACCCUUGUAGAGUUAUAGAGGUUUAUUUUAAAAAGAAAAACAACAUUCUACUUAGAGUAGGAGAUGAGUUAAUGACUUACCCUUGUAUUUCUACUAUGGUUUUCGCCCUCUUCAUGUUUUAUGAGCAAUUUUUGGCCUCCUUCACAUCAGGUACAAUUACGAAUACUUUUUGAGCCUUUUUUAACCCAAUACUCUAUAACAUGGUCUAACCAAAUUUAGUUUUUCUAUUUCCCAAAAUAAGUUUUAAUAUUUACAUAUUUAAAUCAUUUUCUCAUCCCAAAUUUACCCCUAGUUACCCCCGGUAAAAUUUUGAGAAAAUUCAUUUUAAUAUGUCACAACUCAACAUGUUCACUAUGACCGGAUGAUUUAUUUUCAUUUUCGAGCUUCGAAAUAGUCCAAAAACAUAAACUUAGUUCCAUCAUUUUUUAAGUAAUCAUAUAUAGGAUUGCAAGUUUCCAUAUUCAUUUUUAUUUCUAUUUUCAUUUUUGAAAACCUAUAUUCAUUUCCAAAUGAUUUUAUUUCUCCAUUUCAGAGAAAACUAUAAUCAUUAAUGCAUGUUUCUUAUUUCUCUUUUUCUAUUCAUUUCGUUCAUUUCUAUUCAAACACACAAUUCAUUUAUGGUUUCAACGAGCUACUGGAGGAACCUAUUGGACAUAUGUGGUUGAGACUCGAAUGAUUUAUAAUUAAGUUCUAGCUUUUCACCUAUUAAUUAUAAGCUCAUUUAGUCAUGAAGUCAUUCCACUAUAGUAUUAUGACUGAGCUUUCCUCAACGACAUACCAUUACGAAAACAACUACUCAGUGCUCGUCCAUUGAUCUUGUCAUAAGUGUGUUACCCUCAUAGGAUGUCAUUGAUCUCUUUAGGAUAAUAUCUGUUCUCCCAAUAAGAUCCUAUUUUAUUUCAUGGUAACCAUUACAUCUUCCUUCAUGAAAAGUCAAUCACUAUUAAAUAGUGAUAAAGUCAUUCAUCACAAAGACGGAUGACCUGUGGCCACGUUUACCUUUCAUCAACCAUGUAGUGCCAAUGAGAGAAUAUCAUUUACCCAUGUUUUGGGCUAUGAAUUCUACUAUUGUGAAUGACACUACAUACUACAAAAGUCAUACACCCAACGCACCAGCUUUUUGUUCCUUAUCUAUUUAAACUCAGGCUUUUACUUGCAUCAAAGUGUACGAUUCAUGCAUACAUACUCCGCCAUCCACCCAGGAUUUAGGUAUGACACUAUGAACGUCACAAGUGAAUAAAUUCAUAAAUGGAUUCAGGAUCUAUUCUACUUGGGUCAUGUCCGAUGUACUAUCAGCCCAGCCAGUCAUAUCUAUAUUUCUAUCUUCUGGGAGUCAUCUGCUCCGAUGCCUAAGAUAAGACAUCUCCUCAAUUGGACUUGAUAGAUGACAUAUUAGUCUUUUAAUCGGUUUGCUCAUUUUUUAUUAGACUAAGGACAUGUUUAGGUUCGUCUACUAAUACAAGUUGUCUUUUUGUAUUACGAUCCGACCACAUAAUAUCACUUAGUAUUAGUUAAACAUUAGACAACCAAUGAACAACAUUUGCUUCCAUUUCGCUUUGCAUGCAAAAACCAUUUGAUGACAACAAUACAAAGUAUUAAUGUAAUUCUUGAAUAAUUUUAUUAACUAAUCUGUUCGAAAAAAUUACAAGUGUAUAUAGACAAAAAUACUACACUUAGGGCACCAGAUCCAACACACCUACCAUUGCACUCAAUGUUACUGGAUCUGCUCUAGUCUUUCUCUCCAUCUUCUUUCAGUACAUCUCAUUCAAUUGUUUGUGACGAUUCCUCUCUCCAUCAAAAGAACCCUCUACAUUGCCAUAUUUAGAGCGGUCUAUUUGAAUUAGUUUUAGUAGGUCACAGAGAUCGGUGAAGGCCUUUUUGAAUUGGAUUUCCCUUCCCAUUAAGUUUAAUAUGGACGGUUCCAGUUCAGACAAUCCAGGACUAGCAAGUACUGGUGGUAUUUUUCGCGACAUGACUGGUAACAUUUUAUUUUCUUUCUCUAAAUCAAUCGAACUUGCUAAUGCUUUUCUAGCAGCACUGCUUGCGAUUAAAGAGGUUGUUUCAGUCUUCCUACUUGGAGGAGCAAUUUUACCCUUAUUAUGGAGAGAGAAAGUGCUUGCGCGGUGGAGUGGAUCUGUAAUCCACCUUUAGCCCCUGGAAGAUUGAGAUUCAUGAUCAAUGGCAUUAAAUCCACUGGGCUUAGUGAUAUUGAGUGGUUUGUUAUAUUUACUUCAAGAACAAAAAAUCGAGAUGUUGAUUUGUUAGCCAAAGCAGGGCAGCUUCUUUUAUUCUGCUUCCUCUUUAGUUUUUUUCUUUCCUAAUGUUUCGUGUUUCUGCUUGUUUGCAUUUUGUUUUCUUGCCUUUGCUUUGUGAUUAUACAAACUAUGUUUGUUUUAGUGUUGUUGUUUUGAAUAAAAUUACUACUUUACUUUUUUUAAUAAUAAUAAAUAAAAGAGUAUGAAUUGGAAUCUUGAAAAUCCUUUUGAUAAAAAAAAACUGAAUUCAAAUUUCAUUUAUUAUACAAAAUUGUAAGAAAUUUAUGUAAAUAUGAUAUAUAUUUGAAGUUGUAAACAAGAAUUUUGAAAUAACAAAUGUCAAUUUCUAUUUAUCACUAAAUAAACAUAAAUUUUAAUAAUAACUAUAAGUAUUACAUUUAUAUAUGUAUCAUCACAUAAUUUAUAUUAUUCAAAAAUAUAAACAAACAAGAAUAUAUAUACUGAAAUUUAACAUAUCCAUGUAUCACAAGAUUCUCUAAAUAAUCCAAGAUGUCAACCUCCUCCUUUGCUUCUUUCUAUUUAACGUCACAUAUGCCUCAAUAAUAUAUAUACUGAAAAUUAACAUAUAUAUACAUUUUUAAUGUAUCAGACCACACUAAAUUAUCAUCAUUUUUUUUAAAAUAUAUAUGUAGUCGCCUUCCGAGUAAGCAUAAAAUGACAUCUUUGAACUCAUUUUCUUUGGAUUAUCUGGUUAACAAUAAAAUUCUUCAACUUUUCUUUUUCUUGUAUUUUUAAAGUUAAAUCUUGCUAUUAUGAACGUUAUUGAUUUAAUCUUUGUGCUUUAAUUUGAUCACUUUUAACCCUUAUAUCUUUUUAAAUUUUGAAACCCGAAUAGUAGCAUAUAAUUUUUUUUGGUUAAAUUUAGUUACUAGUAUUGUACCAUGUGUACAGAUGUAGAUUUAGUUCAUAUUUUCUUAUUGGAUCAUUAUAAGUCUCCAUAUUUUUUGAAAUUUGAAAUUUUAGUUUUGACGUAAAUGACAAUCAUUAAUCCAUUAACUUGAUCAUUUUUAGUCAGUAAUUUGUGGAAAUAACAAACUAACAUGUCAUAAUACAAAUGAUAAUAUGUUUGUCGUAUCAAAUUUUAGAAACAAUAGAAUUUAAUGAAUUUAACAAUUAUCGCUUGAUGAGGAUUGGAAUUCUAAAAAUUGAAAAGUACAGGGACUAAAAGUAACCAAAUCAAAUAACGUGGAUAAAAUAUACAACUUUAGUAAAGUACAGAGACUAGUGGCACAAUUUAACCAUUUUUUAAUAGUUGAGUUUCUCGCAAAUUACCUAACCCAGGGUGCUAACUAACUCGAGAAAGCUUAAAAGGAAAAUUGAAGGUUUUUUUACUUAGUUUUCCGGUGAGCACCAAAUGACUCUAUUUCAAACCAUCUUAUUCAUCGUCUUUUUAUUCUCUCUUCAGCCAUCAGCAAGCGUUGAAAUUUGCCGUGUUUCAUGUGGGAAUCAAUUGGUUCGUUUCCCUUUCCGUCUCAGCAGCCAACCCGAUCGUUGUGGCUAUCCCCGGUUCAAUCUCUCAUGCAAGGACCAAGCCCAAACUGUCCUUUCGCUUCCAUUUUCCGGUGAAUUCAAUGUCGUACACAUUGACUAUUUGUUCCAAAAUAUAUGGCUCAACGACCCUGAUCAUUGCACCCCCAAACGUCUCCUUCAUGGACUUAACCUAUCCAGUACUCCUUUUGAUUCGCUAUAUCUUCGAAGCUUCACGUUUUUCAAUUGUUCCGCCGCUGCAUCAACACAGCUUCAUCAAGCAAAGCAUAUCUCUUGUCUCAGCGGUACAAACUUUUCUGUCGUGGCUCUACCGGCGGACCGACUCGAUUCGUCGGCAUCAUUGUCAACGUCGUGUUUAGAGAUAGCGACGGUUUUGGUUCCGUUUUCCUGGACGGGUUGGUCGAAUCUUGGGAAUGGUAUUAUGUUGACAUGGAAUGAACCGAAUUGCCUGAGGUGCGAAACUGGAGCAGGGAACUGCAUGUUCAAGAGUGAGACGGGCCUGGAUGUUGGAUGCUCCGGUGGUUUUACCAAUGGUAUGUUUCUAUUUUGCAGUGAAAAAUUAUGGAAAUUUUGGUUAAAAAUAUUGCAUAUAUAGUUGCAGUGAAAAAAAAGUACAUAUCUUCAGCUACCAUAAAUAUUCAAGCCUUGCUAAUUUGUAAGGAGAAUUUUAUAAGUAUUUUUUAUUAUAUGCUAAAAUAAAAACUAGAUUUUUCAAUUCUAGAUAUGGAUUUUGUGAAAUGCUUUUGAUUUUUACUAAGAAAUUAGUAUUUAUUAUGUCAUUUUAUACCAAUUUUUUUCAUUUCUAUUUAUUUUUUAUUUAGUUCUCAAACUUGGUAAUUUUUUUCAACUUAAUCUCUAAACUUAUUUUUGUCCACAUUAAUCCCAGAAUUUAGAAAUAAAUUUUUAAUUUAGUCCUUGAACUUAGAUUCCAUUAAGGUGUGAUGAUGUGAUUGUUGCGGAAGCGACGAUAAUAUUAAUAACAAUAUUAUCAGAAAUAUUUAGAUAAUUAUUAUGCCAACAAUUAUACUAAGAAAAUUCCCAGUUAAAUUGGAGGGGUCACAAAUGGUCCCGCUUAAAACCCAACAACUAGACAGAACUCACUUAGAUAUUUAUAGCAAUAAUAACUAAAUAAAUAUAACCAACAUAAAGCUAUUAAAUAUAAGCAAACAAAUAAGAAAUAAAAUACCAGAGAUUUAACGAGGUUCGGCCAAUUUAGCUUACGUCCUCGGACACUACCAAAUUAAUAUUUCUUCUAGAAAUAUUACAAAGGAGAAGAUUUUGGGAUGAUACAACCAAAGGGGGAGGGGUUCUAUAUAUAACAAACCAAACCCCCUCCCUUUCUAUCUUUUCCUAAUGUGGGAUAUUGCCAAUAUUCAACAAAUCUCCACCUUGGCGAUAUUCCACAUCUUCGAACAUCUUCUCAUAACACUAACUUCAAUAGUGUCUUCAAAUUUGCAACCAAUCGCCUUCUUCCCUUUUGGUAGUUGUGCCAGCUUCCACGUCUUGUUUUUCUCUAGAGAUUGCAUUUCCUCUUCCAUUGCACCUAACCAUCUAUUAUUCUCUAAACUCUGAAUGGCUUUGGUGUAAGUGGAUGGAAUAUUAUCAACAACUGGAAGUGCAUAAGCUACCAUGUCAGUGAAACGAGCAGGUUUCUGAAUUUCUCGUCUCUGCCUUCUGACUGCAAUUGGCUCUGAUUGCUGUUGAGGUUCUUGGGUAGAAACCUCUUCCUCAUCUGACUCUGCAUCUGCCAAUGAAGAAUCACUAGUGGUACCUUCUGCUGGAAUUACCACACUCUGCUCAAACUCCACCUGCUGCGGAGUACACUCCACCUGUUGCGAAGUACUACUCACUCCUUCUGGAUUUACCUUAUUCAACAUGGCAGAUUCAUGAAAGGUAACAUCCCUACUGAUUAUCGUCUUCUUUGCCUCUAGACACCACAAACGAUAUCCCUUAACACCAGCAUUGAAGCCCAUGAAUAGAGCCUUCUUUGCUCUUGGAUCUAACUUUGAUUCUUUCACAUGAUAAUAUGCAAUAGAACCAAAAAUGCGCAAGGUGUCAUAAUCAGUAGCAGGUUUUCCAUACCAUUUCUCCAAAGGAGUCUUGCCAUUUAUAGCAGAUGAUGGCAAAUGAUUGAUGAGAUGUUGAGCGUACGUCACAGCCUCAGUCCAAAACUUUCUAUCUAAUCCAGCAUUAGAUAACAUACAUCGAACUUUCUCCACAAACGUUCGAUUCAUACGCUCUGCCACCCCAUUUUGUUGCGGUGUUCCACCUACGGUGAAGUGCCUUACUAUGCCACAAUCUUGGCAUAUCUUUAGGAAAGGAUCGCUUUUAUAUUCUCCACCGUUGUCUGAUCGGAGAACCUUAAUCUUCCUUCCUGUCUGAUUUUCAACUUUAGUUUUCCACUUAAGGAAAACUUCAAGCACCUCAUCUUUGUUCUUCAUAGGAAACACCCAAACUCGUCUGGAAAAAUCAUCAAUAAAGGUGACAAAAUAACGUCUUCCUCCAAGUGAUGGAGUCUUGGACGGUCCCCAUACAUCAGAAUGCACAUAAUCCAGAAUACCUUUAGUAUUGUGAAUCCCAGUGCCAAAUUUCACCCUUCGUUGUUUUCCCAGAACACAAUGCUCGCAAAAUUCAAGUUUGCAAGUCUUUGUACCUUUCAAUAAUCCUUGCUUGGCUAGAGUUUGCAAGGAUUUUUCACCAGCAUGGCCCAAACGCAUAUGCCACAGCUGUGUUGCCUCAGCGUCCUUCUUGGUACUCGAAAUUGCUGCUGCUGUUGUCCCGACCACUGUACUACCUUGGUAGUAAUACAGAUUGUUCUUUCUUAUGCCUUUCAACAUCACCAAUGCUCCUGAAGUUGCUUUAAGAACUCCAUCUCGUAUUAUCACAACUAGGCCUUUAGAUUCUAACGACCCCAAAGAGAUGAGAUUCUUCUUCAACUUUGGGACAUAUCGUACAUCCCGCAAAAUUCUAGUAGAUCCAUCAUGACUCCUCAGUUUAAUUGAACCUAUCCCGGCUAUUUUACAUGUGUUAUCAUUACCCAUGUAAACAACCCCUUCAUCUAGUUUUUGAAAUUCAAAGAACCAUUCCCGAAUGGGACACAUAUGAUAGGAACAACCAGAAUCCAUGAUCCACUCAUCUGCAUAUAAUGUUGAAGAUGUCAUACUAAGAGAAAAGUCUGACUCUGCUUCACUAUUGCAUUCUGCAACAUUUGCAUCUUGCGGAGUCUUCCCUUUUUUCUUCAAUUUUGGACAAUCUUUCUUCCAAUGUCCUUUUUCUUUGCAAAAGGAACAUUCAUCUUUGACAACAGCUCGACCUUUGGACUUUCUUCUCUUCCCAUUAGACUGACUUUGCUGACGACCUCUUGUUACCAAUGCUUCCACUGCUGCUUCACCUGAACCUUUCAACUUAUCUUUUCGGCGUAGUUCAUAGCUAUACAAUGCAGCAGUUACUUCAUUGAAAGUUACUUCUAAUUUUCCAUGAAGUAGAGUAGUUUCAAGGUACUCAAACUCCUCAGGAAGCGAUCCCAACAACAUUAACGCCAAGUCUUCGUCUUCAAAAGUCACAUCCAAAUUCAACAAAUCAGCCACCAGCUGAUUAAAAUUGGUAAUGUGCUUGUUCAUCGUGGUACCAGGAACAUAAUUGAAACGAAACAGUCUUUUCUUCAUAUGCAACUUAUUUUGACUGUUCUUCUUCAAGAAUUUCUCCUCCAAUGCUUUCCACAAUUUACUUGCAGAAGUCUCUUUACUGAAUGUAUACUUCUGCUCUCUGGAAAGACAUGAUCGAAUUGUACCACAUGCCAAUCGGUUGAUGGUCUUCCAUUCUUUAUCAUCAACCCCUUCUGGUUUUUCUUCCUCAAUGGCAAUAUCUAGACCCUGUUGAAAGAGGGCAUCUAGAAGCUCACUUUGCCACAUGCCAAAAUGACCUGUUCCAUCAAAAAUUUUCACUACAAAUCUCGUAUUUGCAGUUCCAAUCCUCGGCAAAAUGUACGAAGUGGAAGUUGUUGAUAUGGAUGGUUUUUCUUCUGUCAUUUUUGCCAUAGCUUCUACUUAAUAGCCACCAAAUGCAGAAUACCCACAAGCUUUAGGAAAUGUUUCUGAUGUGUAAGAUCAGACUAAGCUGCAAACACAGAGCAUACUACAAAACCUUGGCUCGGAUACCAAUUGUUGCGGAAGCGACGAUAAUAUUAAUAACAAUAUUAUCAGAAAUAUUUAGAUAAUUAUUAUGCCAACAAUUAUACUAAGAAAAUUCCCAGUUAAAUUGGAGGGGUCACAAAUGGUCCCGCUUAAAACCCAACAACUAGACAGAACUCACUUAGAUAUUUAUAGCAAUAAUAACUAAAUAAAUAUAACCAACAUAAAGCUAUUAAAUAUAAGCAAACAAAUAAGAAAUAAAAUACCAGAGAUUUAACGAGGUUCGGCCAAUUUAGCUUACGUCCUCGGACACUACCAAAUUAAUAUUUCUUCUAGAAAUAUUACAAAGGAGAAGAUUUUGGGAUGAUACAACCAAAGGGGGAGGGGUUCUAUAUAUAACAAACCAAACCCCCUCCCUUUCUAUCUUUUCCUAAUGUGGGAUAUUGCCAAUAUUCAACAGUGAUCACCUAAAACUUUUUUUAAAAAAUAUAUAAAAUCUAAACAUACAAAAAAUUUUGAAUUAUAAAUUUUUACAAUUUUUCAGGUAAUGAUGUAGCAGUAUGAAAAUGUAUCAUGUCAUCACACUUUAAGAGAAGAUCAAAUUAGGAAAAGUCGUCAAGUUCUAGGACUAAAGUAAAUAAAAAAAAUUUUAAGGACCAAGGUGAGAAAAACUAUCAAAUUCAGGGACUAAAUGUUACUUUAUCCCUUAUUGUUUUUUACAAAUCUAAUAAUAAUUAAUGCAAUUUUUUUUCUUAUUUUUUCUAUUAUUAUUAUUUAAUUAUUUGAUCAAAUUUCAUUGUUGAAAAUUCUUUCUAAUUUCUAAAGUACAUUUAUCCAAAAAUUCAAUUAAAUUGAUAAAAUUAUAGAAAAAAAUCAUUCAAGUACACCCUAAAAGUAAUUAAUACAUAAUACCCACAUUCAACGGUGAUAUAAAAAUAUAUAUACUUGCUUUAGGCUUACUAGUUAAUGGAACAUGUGAGGAAAGAUAAAAAUGGGACAUACAGAGCAAAUUUCAAAAUUGCUAUUCACUUCUCAAUCUGUUGGUGAGGCAUCGCUUUCAUGCUUCCACAACCACGUCAGGCGGCGGUUGAAUUUCAUACUUGCGUCUUUCAUUUUUUUUAUUUUUUUUUGUUUUAAAAGAUCAAAUAAAAUAAGGAAGAUAAAUGUUUCAUUAUUUAUUUUUAGGUCUUUCAAGACAUGCUAAAUACGGUAUAUUGUUUGGUGCUGGAAUACCGGUGUUGUUCAUCGUCGGCUUAGUAAUUUACCUCCGCAACAAGGUUGAAGAAGACUACAACAAUCGGCAUCCAAAUCAGCCAGAACUGUUGUCGACCACCCCAAGAUUAGAUGCUUCCGUCAAAGGUCUCGAUGGACAAACCAUCGAGGCGUAUCCAGUAACAUUGCUGAGUGAAAGCCGGCGAUUACCGAGGCCUAAUGAUAAUACUUGCCCAAUAUGCCUUAGUGAAUACCAAGCUAAAGAGAUGAUAAGGACUAUUCCAGAUUGCGAGCAUUAUUUUCAUGCCGUUUGUAUCGAUGAGUGGCUGAAAUUGAAUGCUGCAUGCCCCUUGUGCCGUAAUACCCCGCAAACAUUAGCUCCUAUUGUUUCAUCUUCAUCAUAACAGAUGAUUAAUUUACUUAUUUUUCUUUGUGUAUAAUUUCUGUAUGGGAUCAAUGUAAAAGAAAUAAAGUGAAAAUUACCAAACCCAUCAUUGUGAUUAUUUAUUUAUUUAUUCAUUAUCAAUACCUACCAAAACAAUUGAGGGUGACAAGGAAAACACAAAAAAAUAAGGAAUAAAUUUCGUCGGUGAAAACAAUACUACAACAUAGUAGACAGCUAACUAUUGUUUUUCAGUUUCUUCUGACAUGCCAACUCGAGGUCUACAAGUUUAAUCUGCCAAAAAAGCAAGAGCAAACUGUACGUUGUUUAUAAUCCUCUAAACUAACUACUUACAUGAAUGGACUUCUUUAACGUUAUUAAAAGAAUGGAUUCAAUUUCCAUUCAACCUUUCUUGUUCAUCAUCAUUUUCUUUUCUUUUCAACCAUCAAUAAGCCUAGAAAUUUGUUCUACCCUAUGCGGAUCUCAAACUAUUCGCUUCCCUUUCAGGCUUAUAGACCAGCCCCAAUACUGCGGCUAUCAAGACUUUGAACUCUCUUGCCAAGUCCAGGAGACGACACAAGACGUAACCAUCCUCACUUUCCCAUAUGCCGGUAACUUCAGCGUCUUCCAUAUCGAUUACGCCCAACAAGUAGUGCAACUCAGCUACUCGGAAGGGUGCCUCCCGGGGAUUCUUCUUCAGGGUCUUAAUCUCUCAGGCUCUCCUUUUAUGUCAGUAAACACUCAAAGCUACACUUUUUACAACUGUUCAACUAUGGUGCAAUAUCCUGGAGUAACAAAAAUUCCAUGUCUUAGCGGGUUCAACUUUUAUGUCGUUGCUAUACUGACGGAUGGUUAUACCCCAUCGACGUCGGUGUGUUUGGAGAUAGCAAAGGUUAUGGUCCCAAUGUCAACAGAUUGGUGGGAGGACGGUAUGACUUUGGGGUGGAACCAACCUGAUUGCCGGUGGUGUGAAAGCCAUCAAGGAACUUGCCUAUUCGAGAAUGUUGGUGCAGGCUUGCAGGUCAGAUGCGGCAGUGCUAUUAAACACGGUAUGCUUCAUUAACUUCUUCUACGCUGUCCUUUUCUUUAAUCGUUUAAAUGUGUGUUUUUUUUUAAUGCAAAAAGGUUAAAACUGAGAAAAAAACAUGCAUAAACUUUGAAGUGUAAUAACCAAUAAUGGUAAUUGAGUUAAAAGAGCAGUUUUUCAUCUUUGCAUUCCAUUGGUAAAGUGGAAGCCGGAAGCAUGUUAAGAAGGGUGAUAUGGGGAGUAUAUAGAACAAUUUGGUAUUAGAAUUAGGAUUUACCGAUGGAAUGCAAACUACAUUGGAUCUUUCAAAUGUGCAGAUAUCGCUUUUCUUCUUCACGGAUAUUCCUUCAAUAUCUUUUCUUUAAGGUAAUAUUCCUUCGAUAUCCUGACUACAUUCCUCUAGAAGUAAGUGGAGUGUCAAAAUUUUAUCCAUAUUUAUAUUUAAUUUUAUUCACGAUUUAACCAUUAAACUAUACCCACUUUAGUAGUUAAUUUUUUUUCUUUUGUAUUUUGAUACUUAAAGCUUAACUCCAUUAUACAAGGUUAAAAAAGCUGCCAAUAACAACACGCCAAGUCAUCAAUAACAUGAUGUAAUAUGUUAACCAAAGUUGACCGGUAUUCGCCGAGAAUUAAUUGCUUUGAUUGACCAUUGUUUGGACAAAAAAAUCAUUAAAAUUGUAAAAAGUAUAAUUUUUUUAAAAACUGUAAAAGUUGUUUUAAAAUAUUUAAAAGUUGUAAAAAUUAUUAAAAACAUUAAAUUUUGUAAAUAUAUAUAAAAAAAUUAUAAUUUUUUAAAAUGAAAAAAAUUUAAAUUAUUAAAAAUUAUAAAAAAUAUUAAAAAGUAUUUUCAAAUUUUAAAAAAAUUAAAAAAAUUGUAAAAUUUGGCCUGCCUUAGCAUAAAAGAAAAAUCAAUUUGAGAUUUAUGGCAAAUUCCAUUUCGAAUAUCAAGGAUGAAUGUGAACCAAGUUAGCUAAAACUGAUUAUGGGAAUCGUAUACAUUUUUUAAUAUUUUUAAAAUAAUUUUCACAAAUUUUUUUACUUUUUAAAUAUUUUUUGCAAUUUUUAUAAAAUUUUAAUGAUUUUAUUAAUUAUCAAUUUUUUAAUAUUUUAAAUUAUUUUUACAGAUUUUUAUAGUUUUUAAUAAAUUUUAAUAAUUUUGUACAACUUUUAAUGAUUUGUCCUAUCAACGACCAAUCAACACAAUCAACAUAGCACGUCAUCAGUCAACAUGCCACAUCAUCAGUCAAUGUGCCAUUUCAUCGAUGACAUGGUGUGUUCUCAUUUGCCACUUUUUUAACAUCGUUAACUUUUAGGUACAAAAACAGGUAAUGGAGCAAAGUUCAGUAUCAAAAUGGGACAAAAAAAAUUUUAGAUACCAAAUUGGAAAAAUGAGUAUAGUUUCAAAUAAUGAAUAAAACCUUUAUAUAUAUAUAUAUGAUUUAUUCUAAACUUUGCCCCCUACCUUACGAAAAUUGAAAAGUUAAUCUUUUUACUUUAGUUUGUCAAAAUUUAGUCUCCAUACAAAAAUUGAAAAAAAUAGUUUAACAAUGUAUCAUUAAUGGUUGACCUGGAAGUCAAUAAUCUAACAAACUAAAAUAAAAAGACUAACUUUUUUUAAUUUUAAUAAGGUAGAGGGAUAAAAUUCAUAAUUAAUAUAUAUAUAUUAGAGCCUCAACUUUGAAUUUAAUUUGCAUUCAUCUUUUCUUGUGUAGGGCUUCCAUCAAAUGUUAGAGAUGCCUUGGUUUUCGGCUUGGGAAUAUCCCUUGUGUGCCUCAUCGCGAUUAUAAGUUGCGUAAAACUCAACUUUACCGAGGGACAGAACCACCCCAACCCCGAAAUCCUCAUGACCCACCCUCGAUCAACUCCAGGUUCAACAAAAGGCCUUGAUAGACAAACAAUUGACACAUACCCUACAACUUUGCUUGGUCCAAGCCGAUGCCUACCCAAUCCGAGAGACAACAUCUGCUCCAUAUGCCUAUGCGAAUACCAAGCCAAUGAGACGUUAAGAACUAUCCCUAAUUGCAGCCAUUAUUUUCAUGUCGAUUGUAUAGACCAGUGGCUUAAACUAAAUGCAACAUGUCCCGUAUGUCGCGAUAAGUUUGAGGAGCCUCCUCCUGUCGCUCCUACAUUAUCAUCACUCAUGCCAGUGGUUGCCUUUUUUACUUUAAUAUAUGUGCUUUAAAUGUUGUCAAUUAAUAUUCCUUUGGGUUAAAUGGAGACUUAAUUGUUGCUCUAUAUCUUCACUUAUCAUUUAUAAAAAUAGAUUUUGUUGGAUGCAUAAGGGCAUGUUUACCUUUGCCUUUGAUUUUUAUUUGAUAUAUGCACUAUUAAUGAAUUCAAAACGAAGUUACGAACUUAAUUAUGUUGUAUUAUUUUAUGCAUAAACAAAGUUCAUAUCGUGUUAUAAACAUCAUAUUAUAAAGGGUUAAUGUUAUAUUUGGCUCUUGAAAUUUAACUAAAUGUGCUAUGUGAUACUUGUAUUAAAAAAAUUGUAAUUUACUACCUGUAGUAUUUCUCUACAAUAAAAUCCACCCUAACACCUUAAUCUAUAUCUAUAAUUUAUAUAAAAGCACGAAUUUAGAAAAAAGUUUCAAUCAAUGAAAAUACCCUUUCUUUUUCUUUAUAUUACUAAAUUGACAUUUAAUAAAAGAGUUUUUAUUCAUUUAAACUAUAUAGUUGAGGUGAAGUUAAAUUUAAUGUGUAACAGCCCGCCCAGCGUAGACCGUAUUGAUAUGUUAUUUGACGUAUAGUUAGGUAAGCCGGGGUAGAAAAAGGAUGGGAUUGGUCAAUUAUCCGUUGCGUCUAGGUGGCGUAUUGCGUGAAUACAAUAGUACACCAUUUUGCAGAACUCCUCGUUGGAAUUCGCCAUUUGGCAGACUUUUUUUGGAGGCAAUCUGCCAACCCCAGAUGCUUUGGAGUGAACUUGUUAGUUUACGGAUUGAUAGAUUUGUUUUCUGUGUUUUAGCACGAAAACAAUGAGUCAGUGAGUAUCGUUAGAGUUUAGCUGAGACCUAGUUGAGAUUGAACUAGAUUUCUGUAGAUGACAGCUUGAUGUGCUUAGGUAGCUGAAUGAUUUGUUUAGUUAACUUGUAUUAGUGUACAAGCAACGUUUUACUACUCACUAAGCUGAUUAGUGUUAGUAGUUAUGUUUGGUAAAUGAUUAGGUUUCAAAAUUUUAGGAAACUCUAUUCUCAAGUUUCAAGGGCUAUAGUGGGAUUUUCUAACCCUUCCAAUAAUCUUUGUCGCCAUUGUCUGUGCUAUAUAAGGAUGUCGAUAACCGACAUGUUUCACCUUUGUUUUUCUCUACAUUAUUUUUUGAGUCUUUGGAAAAUUUUAAGGUAUCUUCAUUAGAGAAGACGAAGGAGGUUCCAGUAGCUAGUCAAAACGGCCUUGUCAAGUACUAGCUUAUUAGUAAUUUCUAGAAAGCCCUUAGGUAGUUGUCGAAGGGAUUUACAUUUUUGCAUAAGUGCAUACAUGAUUAAAUUAGAUAAAUGGUUUGAUGGUUAUAACUGUUUCUUAUUUAGCCCAAAAAGCUAGUGAAGGUUCAAGCAAUUGAGGUAAAUGACCAAUAGAGUAGAUCCUGUUCUGAAGCUUGUUGGUGAGUUCUUUCUUACUUCCUUUGAUUUAUGAUACUUACAUGAUACGUAGGUCGUGUACGAUAAGUUGUCUCUACUGUAAAUGAGUUUAUGUGUUGUGUCUGGAUGGGUGUGUAAUAAACCAAUAUUGCAUGUGUGAGUAUGGCCAUUGUCAAUGUAAAAACACCCUCCUUGUUGCAUGAGCCCAAUAUUGCACAAAUUGUGAUAUGUGAAAAUAUGGAAAGGAAAUCUGUUUGUGAUGCCUCCACUAAGGCAGCUAUAUUGCAAAUCGGACUGACGGAUCACGGUCUGGCCUUACGAGAGAACACGUGUUCAACUUAACAAGGAUGAUAUGAAUAUGAAUAUGACUGAUUUAUGAUUUUGGAUUAUGGGUCCAAGGCUGGCACAAGGAAUGAUAGUUUGUAAACAUGCAUGAUUAUGGGAGAUACGCAUGAGUUGGCAAAUAGUAAACGCCCAUGUACUGUGUGUUAUAUUUAAAAUGGCAAAGUAUUUCUACCAGUGAAAUGUAGAUAUCAUUAUUGAUUUACCAUGCCUGUACGACAAAGUCUCACGAAUAAGUUUAUUUUUCUUAUGAGUAUCGAUGCUUGUUGAAUCGCGAUAUUUCUGUAAUUUAUUGCAUCCAUUUUUGGAACUCACUAAGUUCAAUUGAACUUACUCCAUUACUUAUCCUUCUUUAGGCAUAUUUCUAGUAGAAGAGGAAUCAGUUGAAGGAGACUACGCCAGAGCUACAGUUGCGAGUGAGCCACUUGUUUAUUUCUGUAUCAUGUAUGGCUAUUUUGGCGGAUGACGUAUACAUAUAUUUUGUAUUUAACUUUUGCAAUUAACUUCGUCGCUUGUAUUGUUCUGUCUUAAAAAGAGAAUUAACUCUUACUAUAAAAGUGUACGCCAAACUCUCUUGAAUUGUAGUUUGUGAACUUAUCUUUUAUAUGCUUACACCAUAACUAGGCAUUGGUUGGAUAAUAUAACUUUUCUUGUAUAACUCCUAUUACUUUCUUUAGAGAUGCGUCGAAAGAAUAAUAAUUUUUUUAAAAAAGAAAAUUUUAUAAUUAUUUUCUCAAAGAUUUAAGUUAAGCUAAUGGAUUUAAAUCCAUCAAUAAUGCCCUAGUCCAUUGGGGUCUGUUUUUAGAAAAAACAGGUUUGAAAAACGCAACAGAAAAUAAAUUUAAAGAAAACAGUGUUUUAAAUUUUUUUCCAAAACAAUAUCUUGGUUGCGAUAUUUAAAGUAAUAAACACUUAAUCAAAAGUAUACUUUUUUUAUUCGUCUAGGGUGAGCGCUUUGACCAAGUAGUCUUCUUUGCUAUCCUCAAGCUCACGUCUACCGAGUGUAGGCUCGCUUCAAAUCAGAAAAUUUUUCACAAAAAUUACUGGUGGGGUAAUUCUGCAAUUUCUCUAAACUUUAGGGUCAAGUUGUAAAUCAAAAAAAUAUCUCUAGAAAUUUUCUGAAAUAAUCUCUUCAAAAACUUUUUUCUCUACAACUUUCUCUUGAAUUCAAGUGUGUUAAAUAAUGAUCCAAUACUCUCUUUAUAUAAAGAGAAUUUAGAGAGUUCAACUAUUGUUAAACUUAAUCACUUUAAUAUUAAAUUAAUACAAAAUUUAUCAAGAUAAAUAUUAAAUUAAAUUUAAUAUUAAAUCUUAUUAAAAUAAUAAAAUGUUUAUCUACAAGAUAAACAUUAAAUUUAAUUUAAUAUUAAGAUAAUCACUUUAAUACUAAAUUAAUAAAAUACUAUUAAGAUAAGUAUUAAAUUAAAUAUAUUAUUAAACUAUUAAAAUAAUAUUAUUUUUGGAGUAGUUAAUUUAAAAUCAAAUUCUUUGGUAGAGCCCCAGUAGGAGUGUAACUUUUACACUAUUCAACCACCAAAGACCAACCUUCACUGGCCACCGGCACACCGUUGUUGCAGCUGCUGACACCGCUGUGUCCAGUGAUGCAGCUGCAACACCCUUACGGCACCCCAAGCCGAUUCAGUUACUAUUGGUUCGAUCAGAGUCAGUUACAACCCGAUUGGUCCGGUCUAACCACCAGUUGGACCGUCAACCUAGUUUUACAAGUUGGGCCCGAUUCGACUAGUUUUUAGGUCUUGGUAUUGGUUUUGGGCACCCAGGCCAUAUUUACGAUCUUAGGCUCAAUUUUCAAGUUCAAUUACCCAUUGGGCCAAUUAUCUGACUUGAACAUUAAUUUCUAAAAGUAUCAUAUUAAUUUUAAUUAAUUUGAUUAAUUUAAUUUUACUUGAUCUAAAUUAACAUUUCCAAAAAUCACUUAGAUUUUCCAAAUUAUUUUUUCAAGAAAAUUCUUUAAUCAAAUUCUCUAGUUGAACAAUUCUCACGACCACCUAAUUUAAUUCCACGUCGAAUAAAUCAACUCAAUUAAAUUAUUUCCAAAGUCAUAGAAUUUUUUUCUGAUUCAACUGCAGUCCGAUCGAGCUUUUGUUGAGCUAGCGGAGGGACCAAUCGAACAUAUACAAUUAGACUAUAGUAAUUGCAACUAUAUUCAGAAGCAUCGUUCCAAUAAUUUGCAAUUACUUAAUCAUGGAGUUAAUCCACAAGAAGUACCAUGAUUGAAAACUCCUUAUUGUAUUCUCUUUAUGUAAGCAAUUCAUCCAACUUCUUUAUCCAAUGAUCUCGUCAUGUGUAUGUUACCAUCAUAUGAUAUCCAUGAUUCCUUUGAGUUAAAUCCGUUUACUCAAUACGAUCUUAUUUUAUCUCAUUGUCACCAUUAUGUUUUCUUAAUGAUUAAUAUGAUCACUGUCAACAAAUGACUGUGAUAAAUUGCUCGUUCGAGAACUAGCAACUCGUACUCACGUUCCAUAUUUAUCAAUCCACACAAUCCCAAUGAGAGGAUAUCAUUAACUCUUUAUUGGGCUAUGAAUUCCACUGUUGCUAGUAAAGUCAUACCAUACACAAGUCAUAUACCCAACAUACCGGUUAUGGGUUUGAUCAUAUUUAGAGAAUAAGCCUCCACUUAUAUCAAAGCACAUGAGUUGCAUACGCAUGGUCAGUGACUAACUCAGGAUUUAGGUAAAUUACACCAUGAACGCCACAAGUAACUUAAUUCACAAAUAGAUUCAAAUUUAAUUCAUCUUGGGUCCAGUCCAAUGUAUCAUUCUACCAAUGAAUACAUCUGUGUCUCUACCCGUGGAGUCAACUACUCCGAUAGCGAAGACUAGCCAUCUCCCCGAUUGGAAUUGUAGACGACAUAAUAAUCAUUCUCAGUAUUUAAAUCAAAUAUUCACUUUGAUUCUUUUACGAGUUUACGGACUCAUUUCGAUUAUCUACUGAAGUAGGUUGUCUUUCUCGCAAUGUAAACGUUCUUACAAUACUACUUCUCUUCAGUUUGAACUUAAACAACCAAUCAGCUAAUAUUUGCUUGUCACAAUUUCGCUAUGCAUACAAAAUACAAAAGAUAGAAAUAUAAAAGAUAUAAUUGUAAAAUGUGAAAUUAACUUUAUUUAUUUAUUCAUCAUUCAAAUAUAUAGAAAACAGUUACAUGCUUACUAUAAUAUGGACACAUUUUUCAAUAUUUGUUUGGUUGAAUGGUACACGUCAUGCCUUCUUGACGGGCUAAGGGGUGUUACACAAUGUAUUAAGAAUAAGUAAUAUUAAGUACUAAAAAUAAAAAAUUCAUAUCAAUCAAUUUUUUCAUUUUUAUAUAAUAGAGUUUUUAAUUCAUUUGAACUACACGAAUAUAUUAAUUAAUUAUAAAUAAUGUAUUAUUUAAAUUAAUUAUUAUUUAAUUAGUAUUAAAGUUGUAUAGCUAUUAAAAUAAGAUUUAUCAUUAUAAAUAACAUUAAACUUUUAAGCAUUUUCAUAUUCAAAUGACAACGACACUUGUGGAAAUUUAUUUUAAACGAUGACAAGGUAAUAUUAUGAUAUUUUUUCAUCACAAAUUUAUUUAUAAUUUAUUAUACAUAUUAUAUUAGAUUUAUUUUAAACUCACUUUUAUUAGCUUCUUAUUAUUUCUUUGCCUAACGUGAUUAGGAGUAAUUUUCAUUUUUGAAUUUUGCUAAAAUUUUAAUUUCUAUUAAUUUUUUCUAUUCGAUAUGCAAGAUAUCACUACAUUUGUUCCUAUGAUCUAAUCCGUAUGAUUUUUGUUUUCCCAUAUUUGCCUAAGUUUGAAAGCUAAAUACUUAUUUGUAUGGAUAAAGAGUAAGUCUAAUACAUCAACUAUACCUGGCCAAGUACUCCACUCAGGUUUAAAGAUUUACCCGAAAAAUAAGAAAAUUUGGACGAAAAAACGAGGCCUGAAAAAUGGGUUUGUGUAAAAUUUAAGACCCAUUUUCUAUAUUAGCUAGGCCUUGGGCAAGAUAUUUUUGCCCGAGCCUGACCCGACACGAAUGUAUUAUGUUAUAAAAAAUUAUAUUAAUUAUAUAUGUUAAAUAAUAAUAAUAUUUUAUAUUUAAUCACUAACCCAAUAACAAUUAAACACAUUACCCAAAACCUUAAAAAAAAAAACUUAACUGACUAAAUAACCCAACAUAAAAUAUAAAAUUUUAAAAAUUUUAUUUAAUACAAUAAAAUAUUUAUUUGUGUUUUAAAUAUAAUAAAACAUUUAUUAUAUUUAUGAUAGUAUUUUUUUAAUGUACUUUUAAUGUGUUAGAAAAAAGAUUUGUGUUUUUUAGUGCAUUUAGUGCAUUAUAUAUUUUUUUUAAAAUAUCUUUAAAUAAAAACUAAUCUAAAAAAUCAAAUAUGGACGAGUUCAGUCGGUUUGAGUUUAUCUUUCUUAAAUUGGGUUGGGCUUGGAAAAAAAGUAAGUCAAUUUUUCGAGUCGAGCCUGGAUUUAAAAAAUUGGUUUAGAUACCUUAUAUGAGCUCGACCUGAUCCAACUUAUGAGCACCUCUAAUUGCAACCAUACCCAAAAAAUCAUGAUUGAGUAAAAAAAAUUAAAAGGAAGUGAAUUAUUAUAAUUGUAAUUAUAUAAAUUAUUCAAUUUAUAAUAAUAAAUUUUUAUUAUUUAUCAUAUUAUUUAUUUAUAUAUUUUCAACUUCAAAUAAUUAAUUGUACGAGGAGUUUAAUAAGAUAAUAUAUUGAAAAAGAAAAUAAAGAUGGUAGUAAUAAGAAUGAUAGUUUGAAAUCGAAUAUUAAAAUAGAAAAUUUUGUUAAAAAUAUUUUAUUAAGUGGAUGUCCAUCAAGAUUAAGAUAAGUUUUGAUGUACUUCAAAUUUUAAUAGUUAUUAGAAUUAGAUCUCUACUUCAUUUAUAUUUCUUAUGCCUAUAAAUAGAGAUUUUGAAGAAGCAUUGUAAUCAUCCCAUUGAUUAAUAAAUUACCUUCUCUAUUAAUUCCCAUAUUUUCUUGUUCUUUAUUUUCUCUAUAUCUAUUUAUUUUAUAACAUGUUAUUAGCACGAUUCUCAAUAUUUUUUUCUAAACCCACCUCGUCCUAAUUUUUUAUUUGACAACCUAUACCUCAAAUGCUUUCUAUCCCUUUCUAAUUCCUCGUUGAAUUGCUUUCAUUAUUUUUCUAACCUAACAUUCCAAUUGGUUGCUUGGCUACCUCAAAAUUGAUGAAAAAAUAAACUUUCAAAGAAACUUAAGGUAAUCCUAAAUCUUAUAUCACAAAUUGUUUUAUACUAUUUCCUAUUUUCAUUCUUAAAUACAUUAUUAUAAUUACAUUUGACAAAUGCACAAUUAUUAUAUUUUGUAGUACAAAUUGUAAUUACACAAUUUGGAUAAAUUAUUCCUGUGAGGUAAAAUGAAGUCAACAAUAUUUGUCCAUGUAUGUACAUUUUAAUUAUUAAUUAUUUUUUAAAAAUAUGUUUUCAUUUUUGUUGGCGUCGUCUACCUUAUGGUAUCAAAUAUACCCAAUGCAAAGACUACAAGAAAUUCUCCUACGAACGAUUGGCACAACAUAGUUCUUCUUUGCUUGAUUGAAAUCUGGAUUUUCCAAGGAGAUUGUUGAAAUGAGAGGGCCAUGGGCUCCUCUGUCAGGGUUUGCUCGAGUUCCUUUGCCAGCCCAGUAGAAACGAACCAUUCGUUACAUUAACAUUAUAUGAUUUUGGAUUAUGGGACAAGAGCCGCUUUAGCUUCAGCUUCUAUAUUGAAAUAUUGCUCCAUAACCUCAUCCUGCCAGUGCCAGUGCCAGUGCCAGUGCCACAUUGUUGUUGAAAAGCUAUUAACACAAACAGUUUUGAUAUUUUACCUGAAUAUAGAUAUCAAACAAUCACCUUCCAAGGCUUGCAUAGCUUGAGAACUGAAUCUCAGCAAAAUGUAGCGUCACAUUGUAGUUCCCAUUCUCCAAACAAUAGUGAUAGUAAGUAAGCGAGAGCGGAGGCAGACGUGCUGUAGGGUAUAAUUCAGAGAGGUUGUUGACUGGACAGCUUUAGUAAAGCGUGAUUGAGUUUAGUUCAUCACCAUGUCUCUAAAAUCUUUGGUGCUAGUAGAUCCCUAGUUAUCACCAUUUCGACCGUGUAUACUGCUCCACUUUCCUCUGAUGUAAGCCUUGUGGUACAGUUUAUUGUUAGGCUUGUUUAUGGUCUUGAGCAAAUUUGCAUAAAACUCAUACACAACAUCCUUCACUUAAGGUUGAACAUAAGUCACUAACUGCAGCAGAUCAUUCUUCUCAAGAACGACAUCGAUUCCUCUAACGCCAAAGCUUCGCUCAUCGAUGCUCAGUUCUUCAGUGAAGUUCUUUAUGGCCAACAACAAAUACCUGUUUGGUUCUUCUUGAGGAAGGCAUCUUCUUCUUUAUAUAGAGAAUGUACGGGCUAUGCAUUUUGCUUCUCUGAAGCCUUCUUUGCUUUGGGUGAGAGUGGAAUGUUAAGCCUUUUUGUACAAGCCAUGCCUCCAAGGUAAAGCUUUUUCAAAGGAAUAUCAUCAUCAGACUGUGUCUCACAUGAUGAUUCAGAUACCAGGCUCGAUCUUCUUUCCGGGGCAAAAGGAUCUUUCCCUUUGUCAAGAGCUGCUCUAAUUUUUGCAGCUUUAUGGCUAUGUUCGAUCUCCUUGUGAGCUAGAAGGCAUUUAAUCUUACAAGGCUGAGACCUGUGUCAGACUAUCUAAUCGUAUUUUAGUGUUUCUGAAAAAGUAAUUCUAGGAAGUUGCUUUGUAUAUACAAAAGUUGGAAAUCGGAUUCUGCUCUUCCCAAUCUACUUCUCGGAUGCAACUGAACAAAAUGCAAAAGCACGUCUUUUAGAAUACCGUCAUACUAGAGGAAAGUUCCUAGGUGGUAACACUGAACUUCCAUGAAAAUAGUUCAAUCUUGGACAAAACACAUUGUUGUGCAAACUGUAUUUAUAUGGAAAUUAUAAAAUGCUGCAAAGCUUUGAUUACAGCACAACACUAAAAGGGAAAAAAACAGACAUUUGCUCUGCUCUGAAGCACAAAUAAAAAACACUCCUUUUUAAUCUAUUGAGAAGCCAUUUGUUUAACUUCUCAAUUCUUACUCUUUUUCAUGUCUUCUAUUCUACCUACUAUAAUAUUAUAUAUAAAAACUAAUGAAGUAGAGGGGAAUGAGGAUGAGCUCUUCUUUUUAAUUUGUCUCUUCACUCCUUUCUCCUCCUAUCUUCAUUGUUAUUUAUACCUAAUAUAUCACCUACAACCCUAAUCAACAAGUAAAGUUGGAUAUCCCCAAACAAGAGAAAGAAAACCCUUUUUUUUUUCUUUUUGGAUAGGUAUUCGGUAUACUGCACAACUCUAAGCACCACAAUAACCCAGAAAAUAGAGUGGAUUUUUUAACUCUGCUAUAGCAUUGUUGUUAGUCCUUUCAUUCUUAAGCCAAAUUGUAGCUUGAAACCGAGACAUCAGCAGGAGAAGUAGAAUGGAUGUAUACAAACUCAAUACUCUUUCCAGCAGGUAGAGAGUUGAGCCAUGUUGGGAAACCAUAAGAAUUGCCAGACUUGGAGAGACCCCAUAGAGGACCAUAAAGCUUUGAUAUAGAAAGCUUGAGAUCCUUCAGUGUCUUGUAAGACUUGUUGGUCACUAUUGUGGAAUACCUGUAGUAGGUUUUUCCCUUGGCAUUCCAGGAAGUUGUCAUCUUCUGCUCUAUGGUAAUUGGAUUAGACGAUGUAGCUGCCAAAUAAACAAAAAAUUCCCCCACUAUCAGAUCUUGAAAUUUAAUAGCUACUAUAAUGAGAAACAGAACCAAACGUUCCUUCAUCAAUAACAGGUUGUGUCCUAAUUCCUAAGAGUAGGACCAACAAUGUUUAUGGGGAAAUCAUUUAAAAGAGAAGCAAAGAAUAUACCAGGGGUUGGAGUGAAUUUGGGUUUUGGCGCCGGCUUUGGUUUGGCAACAACAGGAUUAGGAGCUGGGACAACCACUGCAUGAAAAGCCAAUGUCAUGAUCAUCAUGAUUGAUGGAAUUAGCGAGAGUUAGAAUAAAAAGUUGUAACCAUAUAACUUCAACAGGGAGAUAUAUGCUUUUACAUACCAGGAAGGAGCUGAUUAUAACCGCCAUGACCACCACCAAGUCUAGCCAAUAUGCCAAGAAGAGGAGCAUUGUUGUAGGUAGCAGGCUCUGUUUGCUCAUAAUUGUCCCUUUCAUCGGCAAAGUUAUCAUAGGCAUCAGGUCCUCCGACAAUAGCACCGGUAAGGACAUUAGGAUCACUUGCUUUCCUUGAAUACCAAGUGGCAUAGCCUUGUCGGCACGCAACGAAUUUAGGGUCAACCUUGAACGAAAUAAUUGAAGAAGCUCGGUGGUGAACUUGUCGUGGGAAAUUGUUCCCAUAACCAACCAUGUAACUUGUUGCUCUUGGAUUGUCUCCAAGAAUGUAAUCCACCUGAUAAUUCAACAUUGCAAAAACAUCAGAAAUUUUGUUAUAAAGGUUGAAUUUGUCAGUGGUCAUCAUUCAAUAAUACUUGAAUACAUGAAGAGAAGAGUGAUCACCUGAGAUUUUGCAAAAGAAAGAAGCUCGGAUGGUGCAACAUUGACAGCAGCACACUUCAAGCUUCCCCUAGAGGACGCGAGAUAGUCAGAGUACACGGUGGCCAAGAACGAAGCACUAGUCACGAACUGCAUAUUAUUCCACCUCUGUCGGAAAAUCAAACCCCCGGGAGUCUUCUGAAUAUUACGGCCACCCUUCCCGAUCAAUGAGCACAUGAAGUACUCUGCCUUUUGGUGGUACCUCUCAAACACCGGUGCAUGGAGUCCAGCUUUGCCUUGCAUUAAGAACUACAGGGAAACGAAAACUACUAGGUUAAAUUUUGAAGCUUGAAGAAACCAAUAAGUACUAGAUUCAGAUAUUGAAAAUAAUACCUUGGCGACAAGGGUCUGAACCCCAGCGUACUUGACGUCCCAACCGAACUCAGUCAUGGCCCAACCUGUUCCACCCAUAGAAUCACCAUUUUUGCCAAGAUAGUUCAAGUAGUACUCAUUGUUACUAGCUUGGUACAGCCACGCAGCGGCCCACAACAACUCGUCCUACACGAUAACAUUCCAACUUAAUUAAUAAACCGUACCAGUAAACAUGCUAUUUUCUGCCAUUAAAACUAUAAAUUGCUCAAAUUGAUUGCUUUGAUAAAAUUUAGAAAAACUUACAUUGUAGCCACUGAUGGAUCGGUAGUAUUUUUGGGCAACUGUGAUGCUGCUGUCGUAUUUACCUCUGUAUUUAUCAGCAAAUUCGAAUAGCUGAAAACAAAAACAAAACUUAAAAUUAAUUAUAUUGUAAAAUUUAUUGAAAUUUUUGUUGAAGAGAAUGGAUAGGGUAGGUGAAGCAAUUUGAGGAAAGAGGCAAGGGUAAUUUGGGGAUGUAAGUUAAACUGGAGGAGCACCGACAGGGUUGGCACGUGAGAAACGAAAUGACUGGGUAUAAAUGGACGGUUAAGAUCUGCUUGUACGAGAGAUCUGUACGGUCAUAAAAGAUUAAUUACCCGUGAUGGAUGGGGCAAAAGCAAAGCUAAGCGUUCUCAUCACCAGGAGUCAUAAAAUUAGAACAUCAAUCCACUGGAGUCAAUCCGUUCCAUUAGAAAAAAAUAUUAUUUUAUUUUUAUAUAAACUUUUAAAAGCUUAAUAUAGAAAAUAAUAAAUAUUUAUUUGAUUUUAAAAAAAUAAAAAAUAAAAAAUUUAAUUAAAGCCAAAUUUAUAGAGAUGAUAAUGAUAUAGAAUCUAACUAUACCCACCCCUUCCACCCAUGAUCAAUUUAGAACCAUUAACAAGAAUCUAGCGAACGACACCGUUUCACCCAAAAUAUAGCUACUACAAGGGUUAAAAGGUUUUUAUUUUUCCUGGCUCAAAACAGUGGUAGUAUUUUGGUGGAAGAAAGAAGUAGACAGAGGUGGUUGUUUUUAUUAAAUGAAAACUAGGGUUGGGCCCCCCAAGUUGCGAAAUUGAGGCCGACAAAAGAGUGCGUAAUAACAACCAUUUUUUCCAUCAUCUUCUGAUAAAAAAAGGUAUAGAGUGUAAGCUAACAGGCAUCGGCGGAUCCAAUGGUCCCAGCAACGCGAGAAGACACAGACUGCGUAAAUGUAUACCUGGUGGGCAUGGCGAAGAAGCUCGGUGGAAUAUGCAGGGUUGGAACGGCGGAAGACGAUUGAGGCGGCAGCCAUGGCGGCGGCAGUUUCACCUGCCAGAUCCGACCCAGGGUUGCUUGGGUCUAUCUUGUAAGCAUGACGGUUGGUGGUCAUAUCCUCUGGUCUUUGCCAACAGUAGUGGUCACUGUUACCAUCGCCCACCUAAAAUGGAUCUCACCAAAAUUAAUUAUUUUUUAAUUGAGUCCUUUUGAGUUUUAGCAGUAUUAAAUUCAAACUAAUAUUUUAUUAGUAGCCAAGUGUUGCUAUCAAGUAUGAGAUUUGAAAAAGGGAUUUGGACAUAUUAGUGACAAAAUAAUGGAGUGUUAAGAAUGGCAAGAAACACGAGGAGGGAAGAAGGUCGGGAAGAGUACCUCUCCAUAAAGGACAUAAGGUUCGGGAUGAGCUUUAAUGAGGUAGUCAGUGCCCCACUUGACUGCUUCCAUCGCAUGGCCGAGCUCUCCAUUGGCACCCAUUUGUUUCCCGUACUCUAUAAUACUCCAGGACAUCAUUGUUAUGGUGAAUGCCAUGGGCAGUCCGAACUUCACAUUGUCCCCUGCAUCGUAGUACCCUCCAACCAGAUCCACCUUGAGAAUUUGGGAAAACAACUUCAACCAUAAAUACCAUAAUUUUCGAUUCUAAAUGAAGCAAGUCAAAGAACAAAAGUGACGUUUUGACCGAGAAAACAAGUUCAAGUUGAGAGUGGAACUUUAACUUACCCCACUGGCCUUGCCGUCAUUCAAGCCGGAAUUGGCUCUCCACGUAACUCUCUGGUUAUGAGGAAGGUAACCAGAUCUCUGAGCUUCAAAGAACAGAAUGCUCUUGCUCAGAGCUUGGUUAUAGUCAUGUCCAGCAAAAGCAGAAGGAAGAAAAAGCAGCAGAAGUAAAGGAGUCAUUUCAAUCAGCCUCAUCAACUUCUCCAUGUACAUUCAAACUUAUCAAAAGACACAAUUCAAGUUUCAAGUUGAAACAAAAACAGAUCUCUUUCUGCAGCAGAGUGGGGUUUCCUUCAAGUUUCUAAAACUAAAAAGAGAAACCCAUUUGGUAUCGAACACAAAAAAUGCAGUCUAGUAAGAGAGAAAGGUAAAAAAAAAUGGAAUGAGUUAAAAGAGGUGAUAGAAAUGAAAGUGAGGAGAGAAAGAGCAGUGGGAUUGGGAAUUGGAAGAGGAGCUGAAGCCUCUAUAUAUUGUGGAGUGGAGGGAAGGAAGAGCAAGAGAGGUUAAAAAUUGGUAUUGAAAGUAGUUUUUAAUAAUAAUUGGAGGAGAGGGCAAGGGAAAGAACAAAGUCAUGUGGGUGUCCCUGGCGCUUUUAGUCUUUUACUGGGUAGAGUCGGUGCGGAUUUAAUGGUUCUUUUUGGCAGGGAAACUGCUGCUAAACAUGAUUAAAAUUAAUUUCUGAUUUUUACUCUUCUGUAGAAUUUCUUUUUAUGCCUUCUCCACUCCACUAAACUUACAUUGUUUGUAACUUGGGAAUAAUGCCCCUGAAAUUAAGGCAUGAAGUUUAUUACGACUCCAUUAAAUCUCUGUUGGGCACCGCAUGUGAGAGGGUACCCUGUCCUGGGUUACAAAUGGUGGACAUAAUUGGAUUUUGCAAAACUUGGCUGCUUGGUUUAUGUUUUGAAAUUUGUUCACCCAUAAUUAAUGCAAAUUAUUUUUAUUUUUAUUUUUAAAUUAAUCAUCUGGCUUCUGCAGCCUGCGACCUGUCCGUUUGCGUCUCCUGUCGUAUUAGGUAUGGGAAAAUUGCAAACCCUGGAUCAUCUUUUACAGGUGCUGCCACACUGCUUGAUUAGGCCAAUUAUAGCACAUAUCUAACCCUAAUUAUUUUAGACAUUUUCUUUUCUUUUUCUUUUUGAAUUGUAUUAAAUAUGAUUAUUUUAAAUAUUAACUUAAAUCUCUUAAAAUAUAUUCAUUUUCUCAAUUUUGUACUUAAUUUUAUUUAUCUAUUUUGUAAUGUUGGUUAAAAAUAUUUGUUAGGCCACUUUGAUCAAUGAAAAAAAAUGUCACAGUGGUCGAUGUUGAUCGACCAUUGACGAGUAUUGAUUGAUCAUUGGUAGAUAUUGACCAAUUGUUGACGGUAUUUGAUCAGACAUUGAUUUGCCAUGUUAUGCUAUUAGAAUAUACCACAUGUCCCUUUUAUUUUUUUAAUAUUAUAUAUAUUAUAUUGAUUAAAAAUAUAAAAGAAAUCAUAUAUAGUAUAUAUAAAUUUUAAAAAAAUUAUAAUUAUUAUCAUAAACAAUAAAUUUUAAGAUAUAAUUUAUUGACCACACAUAAAUCUACAUAUGUUUGGAGAACGAAUUGAUGUGAAAAGCAUAAAGAAAAAGAUGCAUUAUUAAUGGAUAAAUGUAAAUGUUAUAUAUUAUUGAUGAAGGGGGUUGAAUGUAACCCUAAAUUCUCAACUAAAAGCCAUUAUUUUGUCCAGCUAAAGAAAAGGGGGUUGAGGUUUUUAUGACGAUUGGAUGUAGAAUUAAAAUCUAAAUAUUAGAGGGAAUUUGAAUUUUUUUUUUUUUGACAAGCUUAGAAGACAUGGAAUUUGAAUAAUUGCUUUAAUUAUUGAGGGAACUUCUCAGCAUCAACCGGAAUUGUUGAUAAUGGUAACUAGGAUUCGCCAAACCCGACAACCCCAUUUUAUUUUCUCUUCUGAAAUUAGGAGUCCACCGACGGCAUCCGGUAGGCAAUAUGACAAUCCUUUGUAAAAUCAACUGUGCAAGAUGUCCAUUUUCAUUUGGUUAUUUUAUUUAAAAGGUCAAAAAGAGAGCGCUUAAUUCCCAACAGCAAUCAACGGUCUCCGCCGGAAAUUAACCUUUUUCUUUUUUUUGGGUUGCCGAAAAUAUUUUUGUCAUCUUGCUUUUCCUUUUGCCCUUUCAUAAAAGUAAAAAAGAGUUUUUUAUUUUAAUAUCAUAAGAAGGUUUUAAAAAACCAAGAGAUGUGGACAGUGGAGACGUACGGUAUGUAAGUCAAAGAGGCAAGCCUCCGCAAUUACCGGCUAACAACGGUUCUAUCACGACUUCUGAUGGUUCUACCUAGGCAACGCGGUCACCGGCUGUCCGGGUGAGUUAGUUUUUUAUCAGCCUCACUAAGUACACCUGCCCCCCCCC
rnacentral:lncRNA from 1 species